rnacentral:lncRNA from 1 species
GAGAUCCAAUCCAUGUAUGAUAACCAAGUUUGGAAUUUGGUUGAUUAUGUGCCCGGACGUAAGACCGUUGGGUGCAAAUGGAUCUUCAAGAAGAAGAUCGACGUGGAUGGAAACGUACACACAUAUAAGGCGCGAUUGGUUGCGAAGGGCUUUACUCAAACUCCCGGAGUUGACUAUGAUGAGACCUUCUCACCAGUUGCGAAGAUAAAGUCUAUUAGAGUGAUGCUAGCAAUUGCCGCAUUUCAUGAUUAUGAGAUUUGGCAAAUGGAUGUCAAGACCGCUUUUCUUAAUGGGAAGUUGGCUGAGGAUGUUUACAUGGCUCAGCCAGAGGGUUUUGUUGAUCCGAAGCAUCCAAAUAGAGUGUGUAAGCUUGAGAAGUCCAUUUAUGGACUUAAGCAAGCGUCUCGCAGAUGGAAUCUUUGCUUCGAUGAGAAAGUCAAAGAGUUUGGAUUUGUACGAAGCGAAGACGAAUCUUGUGUAUAUGUCAAAGCCAGUGGGAGUAUAGUAAGCUUUCUCGUCCUAUAUGUCGAUGACAUAUUACUCAUAGGAAACGACAUCCCGACUCUGCAGGAGGUUAAGUCCUGGCUCGGGAAGUGCUUCGCUAUGAAGGACCUUAGAGAGGCUUCCUAUAUUUUGGGAAUUAGGAUAGUGAGAGAAUGAAGUAAGAGACUAAUAGGACUUAGUCAGAACACUUACUUAGAUAAAGUACUAAAAUGUUUUAGCAUGGAAAAUUCGAAGAAGGGAGAAUUACCGAUACAAAGUAAUGCCAAGUUGAGUAAGACUCAAAGUCCGAGUACCGAAUCUGAAAUAGCGGAAAUGAGCCGAGUACCAUACGCUUCCGCAGUUGGCUCAAUCAUGUAUGUUAUGACUUGUACUCACCCUGAUGUAGUCUUUGCUUUGAGCAUGGUUAGUAGAUAUCAAGGGAACCCUGGCAGAGCCCUUUGGAUUGCGGUCAAGAAUAUCCAUAAGUACCUUCGGAGGACGAAGGAAUGGCUUUUAGUCCUCGGAGGAAGGGAUGACUUUAAGGUGCGAGGGUAUAGUGACGCCAGUUUUACGACUGACAGGGACAACUACCGUUCGCAGUCGGGCUAGGUCUUUACCCUGAAUGGGGGAGCAGUAACUUGGAAAAGUUCCAAGCAGGAAACCGUAGCUGAUUCAACAUGCGAAUAAGAGUACAUUGCAGAGAGAGAAGCGUCAAAGGAGGCAAUAGGGUUGAAGAACUUCAUCGGUGAUCUUGGAGUUGUGCCUGCUAUAAAAGAGCCUGUGGAAAUUUUCUUUGAUAAUGAAGGAGCGGUUGCCUUGACCAAGGAACCGAGGGAUCAUGGUAGAUCUCGGCAUAUCAAAAGAAAAUAUCACUUUAUUAGACAUCGAGUAGAAGAAGGACACCUCGUAGUGAAGAGGGUAUCAUCAGAGGAUAACCCAGCAGAUCCUCUUACGAAGGGACUGAGUAGGGUUAAGCAUUUGCAGCACGCUAGGAGCAUUGGGCUGAAAGAUGAUACUAGUUUAGAUUAGAUAGUUUUGAACAUGUAAUAGAUAAAUGUAAUUGACAUUUGAUGAUUAAAUGAAAGAGUAUUAUUUAUAAAUAANGCUGUCUUUUGUUAAUUGUGUAGCUAUUGUUUCACUUUGCAUGUUUUGACUUCCAGAAUAAUUGAGUUUAUUAAGAAUAAUUGAAUUAUUCAAAUAAUCCACAAUCGUUCAUAUGUUGGAAGUAGGUAUGAAUGAAGAUUGUCAUGAAUUGGUGUGUUGAUUUUCUAAAUGGUAUUAGACAUAGCAAAAGUUUGAUACAACGCUCAUGAGUGCUUAUGAACUAGUUUUGAGCAUUGGAACAAACCCGCGUUUGCUGGAAUCACCUUAUGGAAUGUGAUAAAAAGGGUGAUUGCAAGACGAUAAUAUCAUAUGGUCUUAAAACCUACAUAUAUGGUUUGUUAUUUGUUAAUUGAUUGUACAUUGAUAAUGCAAAACCGCAUCAGUAACUUGAUGUUAUAAAACGCAUUGUUGUGUAUAGUUGAUUAAUGAAUAAGUAAAUGCAUAUAAGUCGAAGUUUAUCUGUUACUUUUAUCCUAAGAGGGUAAAAGCGAUAUCUCGGCCGCUCGAUGAUUUGAUUUGACUUAUGUGUCGGNGUCAGAACUAAUUGAUGUGUUCGAUGAAGUUCUAUGUGAAAUAAAUCUAAGAUCGAGAAACCAAGUGUUGGACAAUUAAUUCCAUAAGAAUUGGCCGCAUGACUGAUAAGAUCAGAGUUUGACAGCGUCUUUGAGAGCUACGAUUGCUAAUCGGAUUAUGCUUGUGUAUAUAGUUACUAGACUUAUCCAAGUGGGAGACUGUUGGAAUAGUGUCUAAGGCUGCAACUAUAUUUCGCAAGUAUUUGACUCGAUUGUGCAUGGUCCUUUUGGGUUACCUUCACCAUAGCAACUUGACAGGUUGAUUUAUAAUGAGAGAAGAAAUAUUAUUAACAUAUUAUGAGAAUAAUAUAAGGAAUAAUAAUAUUGUUAUUUGAUUAAUAUAAGUCAUAAAUUAAUUAGGAAUUAAUUUGGUGACUUAAAGAGAUUAAUUAAAUAAAAGGGCAUAAACUGUCAAUUGUAUGAUAGUUGUACUUUAGGCCAUAAUCCCUUAUGGAUAAGGGGUGGAUGGUUUUGGGGCUUUGGAUAGACCUAGAAUUCAUCCAAGGCUUAUCAUUAGGGAGAUUGGAUUGCUUAGGGCCUAAGUUAUCCAAUUAGGGUUUAAGGGUGAAACCCUAGGAGCCUCACUAGUAUAAAUAGACCCAUGGGGUCAAGGAAAUCGGCACUCUUGUUUUUGAAGAAACCCUGGUCAACUUCCUCUCCUCUUCUCUCUCUCUCUAAUCAUCCUCUUGCUAAGUUGGUGUUUGUAAGCCAUUAGAAGAGUGACAAUUGUGACUCUAAGCUCCAAGGACAAGAAGAUUCAAGCAAGAUACUUAAGGUAAUCUUUUAGAUCUGUGAACUGUAGAUGUAUGUAUUUCCUUUGUAUACUUUCCUUAAAUGUGAACUGUAGAUGUAUGUAUUUCCUUUGUAUAGUUUCCUUGUAAAAUGAUAAUGUAUGUUUCCAGAAAAUCCAAUAUUUUCUUAAAGGUGAGUUGUAGUGUUAAACCUUAAGACCAAAAUUGUACAAGUAUUGUUGUAUUGAAUAAUUAUAUGUAGUUAUACCUUUGUAUAAAACUAAUGAAGUGUAAGCUUCCCGUAAAUAGAGAUAGUAUCGCUAAUCCCAAUUUGAUUUAUUAUAAACAUGCUUGAUAUAACUGAUAUGCCAUAAUGACGUUCUUCAGGCGUCGAAAUUGGUAGACAUUUUUCACCUUAUACUUGCCGGUCUAACUAUUGCCAACAACUGAGGUGAGGGGUUGUCAAUCUCGUAUAGAUCUAUACACAAUGGUCUCACUCUCCGUCCAGGAGACUCUGGUUAUAAUGCAGGACAUUAGGUGUAUGCUAGGUAGGUACGGUUAAGAGAAUUUCUCACAAGAGCAUUAACUGAUUUACGUGAACUAUGACUCCUUUUUCUUGUAAAACGAAAUAAGUAUAUCUUUGAAAAAUUAUAUGUAUCUUCUAAAUUGAAGGUGUGGUUGGUGAUUUGCAAACUAUACUAAUUAUAGUUUAUCUUGUUUGUUUGAAAUUAUUUAUAUAAUCUUUUGUAUAAAUAUGAAAGUCAAUUUUUAACUAGUAUUAAAAUAUCAAAACAUAAUACUUUUGGGUUAAAACCCAACCAUUUAGUAAAUGACCAUAAUGUAAUCAUUUUUGCUAGAUAGCUCAAAAAGUUUCCAAAAACCAUAUAGUUUUACAAAUCAUAACUUUUCUUAUGAUUAUAUAACAUUGAUUAUGUCUGUUUUAACAAUAUGUAUAUCACAAAUAUUUAUACCAAAAAAUAGUAUAAACCAUAACUUAUGCAAAUAGAUGAAAACAUGUAAUUAUUUUUGGGAUAAAUAAAGUUUUACUUGUAUUCCCCCACCCAAAAAAAAUACAAAAAAAAAACAUGAAAAAGCAUGAAAAUGUGGGGGGGUAUGAACUCACCUUGCAAGGAUUUGUGGGUUGAUUGAGAUGAUAGUGUGAAGGUCUUCAAGUCUAAGAACUUGAAUGGUUUGAUGAACUUCUUGGUGUUGUUGGUAUCCUAAGGUUUUAACACAUAAUAAUAUUUGUGUAAAAACAGUGAAACUAACUUAAAAUCAUAUAUAACACUAGCGUAUUAUGGAAAUACAUACCAAAGAAAUCUAAGGGUGAACUUUGGCUUAAAUCCUUUGAAACAUGGAAAUUGCUUCUUGAGGAAGGAGGAAUUUAACAGUAACUAGGAUGAAGAUGGUGGUGAGGUUUUGUAAAGAUAUUCUCAUUGAAAUCAAAAGGAGAAGGAUGGAUGUCAAGUUUUCUUUGAUAACUGGUGGUUAUUUCAUCGAUAUAUGUUGGGUUAUCUAACGUGGGAUAUUGUGAACUUUGCAUGGGAAAAGGGUGGGAUAUUGUUCGAUUAGUGUCUAAGCCCAUACCUAUAUUUGUUAUGUACUUGAUCCGGUUAUGCAUGGUCCUUUUGGGUUGCCUUCACCAAAGCAACUUGAUUGGAUGAUUUAUGGAGAAUAAGGUUAAUUAUGAUUUAUUAAUAUAUUAUAUGAAUAAUGUAGGAGAAAUCAUAUUGUUUAACUAAUAUUAGUGAAGAAUUAAUUAAGAAUUAGUUUUGUGACUAAAAGACAUUAAUUAAACUUAGGGGACUGGAAUUGUAAUUAUAAGAUAACUACAAUUGGGCUAUGGAUCUCCUUGGAACAUAGGUUGGACGAAUUUUAUGGGAAGCCCAUAGGGAAUUUGUCCAAGGGGUGUUCUAAAGGGAGUCCAUGGGCUACUUGGAGCCUAAGCAGUCAAAUUAGGGUUUCGUUGUUUGAUAACCCUAAUGGCCUCACUAUAUAAAGACCCCUAUGGCCCAAAAAACGUGGUGAACUCUUUUGGAAGAACCCUAGGACGGUUUUUGGUGCUCCUCCUCCUUCUCAUUAGUCAUUCUCUUGUUUGUGGUGUUUGUAAGCCAUUAGAGGGGUGACAUUUGUGACUCUAAGCUCCAAAGAAAGAAGAUUGAAGAGAUUCAAUCCAUUCUACAAGUGGUAAUCAUCUAGAUCUAUUCUUAUACGAUAAUUUCGAAGUGGAUAUGUUAGAUUAGGGUUCUUGAGCCUUGGAUGAUCUGCAUGUACAUUAGAGAAACCUAGAUCCAAGCAUUAGGGUUUGCAUGAGCACAUAGGAUGUUCUUUUGUAUAAAACCCAUGAGUGGUAUCAAACCCAUGAUUGGCUUCUGUUGUAUUUGGUGUCUACAUGUUCAUCCAUUUCCUGAAAAUCAUUUUUCUGCCCUCUGCCCGACCUGACUCGACAUGUCAGCGGAUGAACUCGACGAGUCUAGUCAUUGACUCGGUGAGUCCAAGGGUCAGACAGAGGAUAUUUCGUGAUUCUUGUUGUUUUGGCUAUGGGAUAAUUACCAUAAACACUUUUUAUUAAUUAAAUCCGAAUUUGAUCAAUAUUUGGUGAUUAUCCUUGCCAAAAUAGAAGAUAAUUAUCAAAAUUAAGAUAAUUACUUGUUUUAUAGAUAAAUAUUAAUUGUUUUUAAUUUUGUUUUGAAUUAUCUAGUUAGAAAUUGAAUUAGGUCAAAUUUAGAUAAUUACUAAUUAUUUGAUUAAUUAUAAUUAUUUGCAAUUUGAUAUUGAUGGUUUUGAAAAGUUUCAAAAGUUGCCCUCAAGUUUUGGAAUUUAAAUUUUUGAUUAAAAGUUUAAUUUUGAAAUAUUUAAAUUCUAAACCAUAAUGAUUUGAAAUGUUUCAAACCUUGGGCUCAAGUUUUAGAAUUUAAAUUUUAAUUAAUAGUUUAAUUUUAAAAUGUGAAAUUCUAAAACCCUAAUUUUUUAAAAGUUCAAAUUGCACCCUUAUGGUUUUAUUAAAUUAAUUAAGUGUAUAAUUAAAAGAGAGUUAAUAAAUCCAUAAUGAUAUGGUUUACAUUUAAUUAAAUUAAUAGUGCAAUUUGUUAAAUUAGACCACAUACUAUUUUAAAAGUGUAAAAUACACUCUUAUACAAUAUAAAAUUAAAAGUCUAAUAUUAUAUAUGUAUAACUUAAACUGCUAGUCUUACCGUUAGUAGGCCUCAUUCACGAAGUCGAUCUAUAAGGGGUGUUUAAGGAAGCGGCCUGUAAAAUGACCGCCAUUGGUUAUCCAUUCUUACCCACCGCACUCUCGACUACUGGAGGUUUGUUAGCCGAACGGGUAGGAUGGGGCAAACGCUUUCCAUUAGAAGUAUAAUGAAUUAUAAAGUAACUAAUGUUUUUACAAAAUUCUCAAUCUUAGUUACCUUAGGCAAAAGUAAAUUUGAUGCAAUUCCUUGAAAUUACACUUUGUACCCUUGCUAAGACGUUAUUUGAGUGUGUGUGGUUAACCGACACACUAUAUGGGGUCUAAGCCAUGGUAGCGAAGGGUGACUCGAUGUUUGUCAUAGUUCAGUGGAGCGUGUGUGGUUAACCGACACAUUGAAUACAUGACUGUAACAUUGGGGGCACCAUGUAAGUUUGCAUGGUUAUUCACACCCUGUUUUGUGAUCCUUGGCAUCCCAGUCACAAAUCGAGGGGCAUAUCGAGAUUUAAACAUGCCAUUGAAAAGUUCAAUGAAUCUCAAAGGAUCUAGGAGUUUUCAAUACAUUUAAAACAUAAUCUCUUUUUUGUUUUUCAUGGUGGAAAAUUAGUGAAUCGUUAUUUAGUUACCUUCAAAUGUUCUGCAAUUUGGGUUACGACAUCUCUCUUCCACGUUGUAGAGUAUUGUGCUGGGUCCUAGCCUUAAUAUCUCAUUUGGGUGUUUUAUUAAGGAUUCAAUCAAUCAAUCAUCUAACUUUAAUUUUUCUCCCGUUUUGUAGAUUUCAAAGUAUGACAACUAUGGUCUUCCGAAAUUCCGUGGAAGAAGCUUUCAACAUGAAGAUGAUAUUCCAUGAUUCGAUCUAGGAACACGCGAUCAUGCUUCACUUCCUCCACCUCCUCCUAUUGUUCUCCCUAAUUCACAAGUUCAAAGGCUUGAAAAUUUCAAGCUCACUCAAGUCUUUUUGGCAAGUAAAAAUGAAGAAGGAAAGUCAGUGUGUGCACACGUCUUAGAGAUAAAGUCACACAUGAUAGGUUAAGAAUGUUGGGAGUCGUUUUCUUUGAGAAGUUGGCUGUUGACUGGGUUCUUCAGUCGCUUCCUGACUCAUAUAGUGAGUUUGUAAGAGAGUACUAUAUAAUAGACCACGACGUGAUCCUCAUCGAUCUCACCUAUUUGCUUGUUGCUACUGAAUCAGCAAUGAUUUGGCGCACUGGAGAAGCAAAGUUGAUUGAUGGAUUUGCCUUCCAAACCUCUAUGAACAUAGGCAAUGGCAACGAAAGGCAUGCCAUGGUCUAAAAGUUUGAUCAUAAGAAAAAGGCAAAGUCUGAAGUAGUUUCGUGUGUUGUUCCGAAAGAUUCAAUUUGUUUUUAUUCCCAAGAGAAGGGGCAUUGGAGACGAAGCUUCCCGGUCUACCUGAGAGAUCUAAGAGAUGGGAGAUUCGAAACAUUUGGCUCUGCUUCUAGUAAAAUCGAUUAACUAACUCUAUAAGUUCCUAUUUUUGAUUCUUGAUACAUUAUGUGAUAAGAUUGCAUUUUUGGCUGUUUUGUAGAAUUGAAGAAAAGAAAGGAAGCUUAAAGCAAUAAGUGAGCGGAGUCUGAUCGCAAAGAGAUGGAUUUUGAUCGCAUGGAUUCAAAUAUCGGAUUUUAAACUGCUCCUUUAGAGUUAGGAUAGAUUGCUAAUAAAUGUAAUAGCAUAGUUUUUCAAUUGAGUUGCCUUGUAAGGGCAAUUUUUUUUCCGAAAUAAAAUAAAUUUUGAUUUUGUCUUAUUUACUUAUCCUUGCAAUGACAUGUAUGAAAACUUGAUGUUUGUGUAUUUCUAUUAUUACCAAUGUUGAAAUGGAUGUGAUUCUUAGUUAUGUUAUUUAUGGCAGUGUCAUAAUUUUCUAAGUAAGGAAAAAUUCUCAUCGCCCAAGUUUCAAUUAGAUAGAAACUUGGAAUCAUACAACUUGUAUUGUAUUAUGUAUGGAAAUCUUGGUACUUAAGUAAUUAAGACUAAUUCCUUGUUCACAUAAGUAUGUGAGUCAAGUGAAGGACUAAAUGAACUAGUACACAAUGUUGUGCACUAGUCAAAUCCGCCAUAAAUAAUAAUAACAUUAUUCGUCAUGAUUUACUAAAGGUCUAGUAAAUGUGGUUAUACUUACACGAUUAAGUGUAAUUCUGAAUCAUUGAAAUGUUUCAAUGAAUGGCAGAACGAAUAAGUAGAAUCAAUGAAGGCAGAAAGAUAAAAAGUUUCUCUAAUCUAAGAAAAAUGGAGAGUACUUUUGUAUCGUGUUUUGUGAUUGUCUUGGUAAUCGUAAGAACCAUAUUACAAUUCAUCCUCUAAGGAUACCAUAGUGCACUAGUUUGGCUAAGAAGAGGAAUGGAGAAUUGUUGAAAUGGUUCAGUCAAUAAGAUGUAUCGUACUUUGUUCCAAAAUCAGGUAUUCAAGUGAUACUACAAGAUUGUGACUUGAGUGACAUAAUCUUAAGUAGGAAUGUUCUUACACUUGCAAAUUUUGGUAAGUUUUGAUGUCUUGAAUAAGACAAAGACCAACUAGUACCGAAUUGUGUGUAGGUUUUUCCUUGAGAUAGAUACAUACUAACUCUUGGAUAUUUGUUUUGUCAAGAAAUAUCUUUUGAUAAGAGAAUGUAAUAUGUCAUGAGGUCAUUGGGAGUCUAAAGAUCUUGAAAAGUUUCAAGAGCAAAUCAAGAAGUAAACCUAUUAAACACUAGCACAUGACUUCAGGAUUGUAAACUAUCGUGUUGACAAAAUUUUAUUUCUAUGCCAAUCCUGUAAAGUUACUUAUGCAUAUGAGUUCUACGAGUUCUCAAUUAAAUGCAUAAGGGAAAACACCUUUGUUCAAUGAAAGUACAUUGACUCGCAUAGGUGAGCUGUUAAAUAACUUGGAAGCAAUGGUGGGACAUUUGAUGGCAAGAAAUUAAGAAUGAACAAGUUCUGUCCAUAAGAGUUUGGAUUUGUCACAAACAUUAUCUUAUGAUUUUGGUUAUGACAAAUUUGCAUUGAUAGGAACACAUGCACCAUAAAAUCUAAGUGUCAUAAGGUUUCUCUCCUUCAUGAAAAUGAAUGUGAGGAAACGCUUGCACUAAGAGAGAUUUUAAGGAGAUAGAGAUUAUGUAAAUUACAUUCUCAAAUUCGGUUAUGAUUACGGCAUCCUUCUUCAUAGUUCGAAUUGUGAGAUUUGACAAUUAGUCUGAAAAUUUGGGACUUAGUAUUAUAAGUUUUGAAUUAAUUUAGAAACACAUGUGAGUUGUCUGAAGAAAGGUGUAUGAGGUUGAGAAGCGUAGAUAAAGGCUUAUCGAAGCAUAUCAUAUUAGAAAUAUGAAGUUUGGAAAUGAAUAAGUAUUGUCUUUUAGAAGUGCAACUGUUUUCUGAAUAUGUGUCAACGCUAGUGGGAGUAUAAAUCUUAUACUGGAAUGGAUAUAAUCAUCAUGUUAGUAAGAGCAUGAUUAUUAUUAUUUUAAGUAUUACAAGUUGGCAAUAUUAAUUAUAGAAAAACAAAAGUUUCACUUUGCAAUGUUGUUGGGGUUGAAAAGCUGUUUUUGCUAUAAUUAAUGGAGAGAAUGUUGUACUUCGUUUCCAAUGUAAAAGCUUAGAUCAUGAAAUUUUAAUUGAAUUUAGUCAAUGAUAUAUUUAUUAUUUGCAAUCUCAAAGUUCUAUUAUGAUUACAUCAUCCGUCUUCAUAGUUCAAAUUUUGACAACACGGCAAAUAGAAAUAUUAUGGCAAUAUUAUAGCAAGAAACUGGUAAAGUAUCACGUUUUCAUUAUGAAUCGUAUCCUAUAUGCUUCGGGUAUAGGAUCGAUUGCAUAUGCUGUAAUAUCCGACUGUUCUAAAAUUUUCCGAAUGCCUAGGGAAUUUAGAGGGAAAAAGGGAAUAGAACCGGAUUUGAUUAAAAUAAUUAAACAACUAUCAAUGACAUGCUAAGGUUCGCCAAGGAUUGGUCGCUUGCGGAAAAUUGGAAGUAUAGUCAUAGAUGGACCAUAUUGGCAUUAUUAUUAAUAGAUAAGAUUCUAUUUAGAAUGAGUUGUCAUAUGGCAAUUUAAAGGAUAUCGAGAAUCUAUAUCUAGAUUAGAAACUUUUAUGCAAGAAGAAUGUUUAAAGGAAUGUACUUUGAAUGUGAGACUUCACAGUUAUGGAAUUGUCUUGUAACAAUCUCCAAUAGAGCACCUUGUAAUUUCAUUGGCAAAGUCUUGGUGACUUUGGCAUUGUGAUAUUAUGAAAGGACUGUUGCAUAAAAUGUUAGAAUCUAACAUAUUCUAGUAGUGGCGAGAAUUUUGUAUUCUUACACUAAUUGAUUAGGAUUCAGAACUAUGAAGUGAGCAUCAUUGGAAAUCUAUUCAUUUGAUCUAUUUCAGAAAGUUAGGACCAUCGGAAAACAUAGUGUGCAUGCUAAGAGUAUGCGACAACUGUUGUUAUGAUUCAAGUAAGAAGUGAUUAACCGAAACAACAAAUAAUGAGUAAUCAAUAUGGUGAUGAAAUAAAAGGUGUUUUAUUUAUACUCAAAAGUUUGGGGCCAUAUGGGAUUAGUAUUAUUCUUGUGUUUCACUUUGCACGUUUUGACUUCCCAAAUAAUAAGUUUAUUCAAACCCUCAAUAGUCGCUCAUACAUUGGAAGUAGGUAUGAAAGAAGACUGUAAUGAAUCCGUAUGUAGAUUGACUAAAGCGUUUACACAUAGCACAAGUUUGCUGCAGAGUUCAUGAGUGUUGCUAUAAGAUUACAGUAUUGGAUUAAACCCACGCUCACUUUGAUCGCUUCAUGGAUUUUAUCACGAGUGAUUAGUGAGACAGUAAUAUCCUAUAUUCUUGAAACCGAGAUGUGUGAGUUGUAUCUUGUGAGUCGGUUACACAUUGAUAAUAUGUAAACGCACCAGUAACUUGGUGUUAUAAAUCGUAUUGUUGUGUGUGAUUCGGUGAGUGAGUACAAGUGAGCAUUGACUCAAAGUUUAUCCAUUCCUUUUACCUAAAGUCGGAUAAAAGCGAUAUAUGUGGGCCCCUCGACGAUUUAGUGAUGAUACCCUAAGCGCUUGGCCAAGCCAGGACUAAGUUGAUGUGCUCAACUGUAGUUUGUUGUCAGUCGUCAUAAAUCGAAAAUCAGGAAACAACACAUGAACGAAGAGUAUGAUUAAAAUCCAUGUCUUAGUUAAUACGAUGUCUAGAAUGGAGGAAUAUAUGAUCCCUUAUCUAAAGGACAGGUUGUUGAUAAGAUCAGAGUUCGACAUCGUCUUUGAGAGUUAUGAUUGCUAAUUGGAUUGUACUUACAUUAUAGUUACUAGACUUAUCCAAGUAAGUGACUGUUGGAUUGGUGUCAAAGCUCGUAACUAUAUUUUGUAUGUACUUGAUCCGGUUGUGCAUGCUCCUUUUCAGUUGCCUUCACCAAACAACUUGAUAGGAUGAUUUAUGGAGAAUAAGGAUUAAUUAUGAUUUAUUAAUAUAUUAUAUGAAUAAUAUAUUAAAGGAGAAAUCAUAUUGUUUAAUUAAUAUUAGUCAAGAAUUAAUUAAUAAUUAGUUUUCUGACUAAAAGACAUUAAUUAAACUUAGGGGGACUGGAACUAUAAUUAUAGGAUAAUUACAAUUGGGCUAUGGAUAACCUUGGAACAUAGGUUGGACGAAUUUAAUGGGAAGCCCAUAACGAAUUCGUCCAAGGGGUGUUCUAAAGGGAGUCUGUGGGCUGCUUGGAGCCUAAGCAGUCAAAUUAGGGUUUCCUAGUUUGAUAACCCUAACGGCCUCACUAUAUAAAGACCCCUAUGGCCCCAAAAACGUGGUGAACUCUUUUGGAAGAACCAUAGGACGGUUUUUCAUGCUCCUCCUCCUUCUCAUUAGUCAUUAUCUUACUUGUGGUGUUUGUAAGCCAUUAGAGGAGUGACAUUUGUCACUCUAAGCUCCAAAGAAAGAAGAUUGAAGAUAUUCAAGCCAUUCUACAAGAGGUAAUCAUCUAGAUUGCUCUUAUGUGAUAAUUUUGAAAUGCAUAUGCUAGAUUAGGGUUCUUAAGCCUUGGAUGAAUUGCAUGUACAAUAGAGAAACCUAGAUCCAAACAUUAGGGUUCGCAUGAGCACAUAGGAUGUUCUUUUGUAUAAAACCCGUUAGAUAUCACAUCCUAAAGUCAAAGCUUAUCAACUGGAAGCACCCUAGGAUGAUUCAACAUUGGUUUUCGGCCAUAAAGAAGGUGAUUUUGGCCUAGGCAUGGCUGAAAUCCCUUGGUACCCACUCUUAUUGAUGAUUUGGCCUUAGUGGACUCUCCAUUAAAGUUUUCGGCCUUAAAUAGACUUACCUUUUGAAGUUUUCGGCCUUAAUGCUUACUAGGCUUUGAGAUUUCGGUGCUAGGUCCAUCCUAGUGUUUGUUUUCGGUUUUGAAUCAUUUACUAUGGGUGAUUUCGAUUUAGGGGUAUUCUAGGGUGGGUGGGGUACUAAGCCUAAGAUUAUAAAGCAAGGUAUGGUUUAUGAUUUAUGUUUCAACUAUUUGAUUUUUCUUGACUUGUUAUAGUUUGUUUACUUUCAAGAGCUUGUUGUAUAUAUGAUUUCCAUGGUAUAUAUAUGUAUAUAUGCAUAUAGGAACUUAUAUACAUACACAUGCCACUAAUGUCCUUAUGACUUUCAAGGUUUUGUGGUAGCAGGGUUACAUUGCGAAUUCACUUGCACAAGCCUACAAUCUGGACCUUGCGUCAUCCAAAUAUUUAGGGUUGUCACAUCAUCCCCCCGUUAGAGGGAAUUUCGUCCCGAAAUUAGUGUCUUAGACGACUCUUGCAACUAGGAGAAACUUGCGGGUAUCUCAGUCUUGUCAAGUGUCUUCGUUACUACGGAAAAUUAGGUCCUUGCCUGGUGUUCUUGCGACCCUCACUAUUGGUAUUUUACUUUGCUCUUUUCGUCUCCCUGCCCAAGAUUCCCACAUGUUCCUCUUUGGGGUAUAGGUUCUCGUUUACUCAGAUUUCGUCGAGUAUGACUACAAGAGUUUCAGCGAUCAGACACUUUUGUGGAGUGUGGGAGUGAUGAUGGUAAGUUCUUGUGGUAGCCGAAAUCUAUAAGCCACUGGGCCGAUCUUGGCGAGGAUCUCGAAUGGCCUAACGAAAUUUGUGUACUUGACGCCCUAGAGGUAAUGUCUUUAGACCUUGAGAUGAACACUAUUUCCACUAAGGUUGAGGUUAUGUGUGGUGCAGCUGGCCCUACAAUUCUUAGGUUGUCUUGGGAGCUUCUUCCUAUGGAAUUCUGAGCUAGUGGUAUGUCGACCACUACUUGUUCCUUCAGGUUGGCUAAAUAGGUCGUUAAUUCGGAAUAGGGGAUAUUGAUCCUUGAUGAUGGGUUUCUUUGGCUCUUAGUAUUCAAUGGUCCUAUGGACAAUUUUCCCUUUCUUCUUAUGAGUCAGACAGGCGCUCUCUGAGGUUAGAGGAUCAGUCUGAUAAUUUCCUUACUUAUUAGGUCGUUCCGUUGACCGGGCAAUUUCCGUUUUUGUGUCAGUGCUAAGCGGUAUUGGGGAUUUGGCUACAGAAAUGGAUCCAAGAGUCGAUUUGAUUUUGAAAUCAACUUGGCACAUGGGUGGUAUUUCUAAAAUAACUUAUGGGAAUACCUUGGGAAGGUUAUAAACCUUUGGGAUACCCUUGAUAUCCUUUGCCUCUGGUAUCCUAUUUCUGUUGUUGCUAGGAAAGAGCGUGGUACACCUUACAUAGGUACUUAUGAGUUUUGAUGUAAGGGACGAUUCGGAGGUUUGUUGUUAUAGAUCGAAAGGGUUUUAUUAUUCGGUCGGUUAAGGAAAAGGGUCUCUUCGUAGAAUGUAAAAUUGGUAUGGUGAGGACCUAGCCAAUCCAUGUCAAAUGACGAUGUUGGAAAUUCUUAUUCUAAUAGAUGUUAAGUCGAUUUGGAAGGGAGGUGAUUGUUUAGAAUGAUAGUGUAUUCUAUGUAUAUAGUUUUAUCCUUGUUAUUACUACUGCGAAUAUUUUGUACCAGGAUUAGUGAGUACUAGCAAUACGAGUUCUUUGGUAAAUAGUGAUGAAAUAUCGUAGUAUGAUUCCUACUAGGUCUCUCUAUAAUAAUUUGGUGUAAACUAGUCAUAUAUAAUUAAGAUUGAAAAGAGAGUCAAAUGAGUGACUCUGCCCAAAAUCCACAACCAAUCAAGGAACAUGAAGUAAAGCGGAAUCACACAUUCUAAAUCUGUAGAAUCUUAAUUAUAUACGACCCAAAUGUUUACACCAGCCACCAUAGAUCUGUUAGGUUUUGAGCAUUAUAACACUCCUAAGUGUACAUGAAACCCUAAAUACCUUGGACCUAUGUUAUCUCUAUUAUACAUGCAAAUAUGAACUUUUCAAGGUAUUCAUCCUAACUAACAUAAUAACAUUGAUUCAUAUGAAUAUAUAAAGUUAGAAUUACAUACCUCUUUGAUGUGGAAUGUCUUCAUGAAGCUUGAGUCCCUAGUGCCCCAAGUGUGACACCUCAAAUGGUUCAUACAACAUCAUAUGAACUUGGAAAGACUUGAGAGAAUAUACAUACUUCAUGAAAAUUGGCUAGCCCUUUCUAUCACAGAUAGUGGCCAAUUUUUUUUCCCAAGAAUAUGAUCGUUAUAUAGUGUCACAAUUAGGGUAAACCCUAAUUGUCAUGGAUUUUCAUUUCCUUGGAUCCAUGGGUUCAAAUACACCAUGGAGCAUCCUAUGGGUUUUAGCCCAACUUGAUAAUCCAUGGAGUCUUAGCCCGCUAUACAAGUAUGGAUGAUUUACACAAUCAACCCAUAUAUUUAAUUAGUCUUCUUUUGAUCAGUUUAUUAAUUCUAGAUUAAUUCUUGAUCAAUACUAAUUAAAUAAUCUAAUUAAUAUAUUAGAACUUAUAAUAUAUUAAUAAACCAUAAGUGUUAUUUCUCUCAUUUUAGUCUAUCCAAAUGCAUGAUGCCAUGCAACCCAAAUGGACCAUGCCGGGUCGGGUCAAGUCUUACCAAUUAUAGUUAUGGACUUAGACAUUAAUCCAACAGUCUCCCACUUGGAUAAGUCUAAAACUAUUAUUGCAAGUGUGACUUCAUGAACCGACUAGCAAUCGUAGCUCUCAAAAGCAUUUGUCGAACUCUGACCUUGCCGAUGAUCUCUGACCUUUGUUAAUUACUUGUCCAUUAGAUAAGGGAUCAUAUAUUCCUCCAUUAUAGAUAUCAUAUGGACUGAGACAUGGAUUAUAAUCAGUCUCUCUGUCCAUUUGUUGUUUCCUGAUUUCCGAUUUAUGACGACUAACUAAUUUGAACAAAUCAAAUCAGUUCAGGCCAGGACGAGCACUUACAUUUGUCAUCACCAAAUCAUCGAGGGGCCCACAGAUAUUGCUUUUAUCCCAAAGGUAAAAGGAAUGGACAAACUUCAACUCAUAUGUAUUGUUCUACUACUUGUUGAAUCAUACACAAAGGCACGUUUUAUAACAUCGAGUUACCAAUGCAUUUUUGUGCAAUCAAUGUAUAACCAACUCGUAGUAACAACUCAUAUCUCUAGGUUUGAAGAAUAUAAGAUAUUAUCGUCUCAUUAUCACACAUGAUAAAAUCCAUGAACUGAUUCCAAUGAGCGUGGGUUGAAUCCAAUACUCAGAACUUAUGAGCACUCAUGAAUGUUGUAGCACCUCUUGGUUAUGUCCCAUACCUUGGACAUCUACAAAACCAAUUCAUGACAGUCUUGCCUUAAUACGAACUUCCAACGUAUUAUCGACUGUGGAUGGUUUAAACAAGUUAAUCAUUCAGGAACAAUGACCUAGUUAUUCUGGAAGUUAAAACAUGAAAAAUGAAACACAAGAAUAAUUGAAUCCAAUAUGGUCUCAGAAUUUAUGAAUAUAAAUAAAACACCUUUUAUUUAUCAACAUAUGAUUACACAUUAUUCAUUGCAUACUGUUUCAGCUAUCAACUUUAUACUUGAAUUAAAAACAAUAGUUGUCUCUGUUGGGUUUUGAGCAUUUUAACACUCCUAAAUGUACAUGCAACCCUAAAUACCUUGGAUCUAUGUUUUCUCUAUUAUACAUACAAAUAGGAACAUCCAAGGUAUUAUCCUAAUCUAGCAUAUAAAAUAAUGAAUAUAACAAGAUAGAAUACAUACCUCUUUCAUGUAGAAAGUCUUCAUGAAGCUUAAGUGCCUAGUGCCCCAAGUGUGACACCUCAAAUGGUUCACACAACACCAAAUACACUUGGAAUAACUUGAGAGAAGUCUACACUUCAUGAAAUCGGCUAGCCCUUUCUUUUUACACACUCUAGUGGCUGAUUUUGGUCAAGAAUAAGAUCUUUAUAUAGUGUUACAAUUAAGGUAAACCCUAAUUGUCAUGACUUUCCAUUUCCUUGGAUCCAUGGGUUCAAAUACACCAUGGAGCAUCCAUGGACCAUCCUAUGGGUUUUAGCCCAACUUGAUUAUCCAUGGAGCAUUAGCCCACUAUACAAGUAUGGAUGAUUUACACAAUCAACACAUAUAUUUAAUUAGUCUUCUUUUGAUCACUUAAUUAAUCCUAGAUUAAUUCUUGAUCAAUACUAAUUAAAUAAUCUUAUUAUUCUUAUUAUUAAUAUACUAGAACUUAUAAUAUAUUAAUAACCAUAAGUGUCUUAUUUCUCUCAUUAUAGUCUAUCCAAGUGCAUGAUGCUAUGCAACCCAAAUGGACCAUGUCGGGUCGGGUCAAGUCUUACCAAUUAUAGUUAUGGACUUAGACAUUAAUCCAACAGUCUCCCACUUGGAUAAGUCUAAAACUAUUAUUGCGUAUGACUUCAGGAACCAACUGGCAAUCGUAGCUCUCAAAAGCUUCUGUCGAACUCUGACCUUGUAGAUGAACUCUGACCUUUGUCAAUGACUUGUCCAUUAGAUAAGGGAUCAUAUAUUCCUCCAUUCUAGAUAUCAUAUGGACUGAGACAUGGAUUAUAAUCAUUCUCUCUGUCCAUUUGUUGUUUCCCGAUUUCCGAUUUAUGACGACUGACUAAUUGAACAAAUCAAAUCAGUCCUGGCCCGGCCGAGCACUUCCAUUUGUCAUCAUCAAAUCAUCGAGGGGCCCACAGAUAUCGCUUUUAUCCCGAAGGUAAAAGGAAUGGAUAAACUUCGACUCAUAUGGCUUGUUCUACUACUUGUUGAAUCAUACACAAAGGCACGUUUUAUAGCACCGAGUUACCAAAUGCGUUUUCGUGCAAUCAAUGUACUAUCAACUCAUAGUAACAACUCAUAUCUCUAGGUUUGAAGAAUAUAAGAUAUUAUCGUCUCAUGAUCACUCGUGAUAAAAUCCAUGAAGUGAUUCCAAUGAGCGCGGGUUGAAUCCAAUACUCAGAACUUAUGAGCACUCAUGAGUGUUGUAGCCCUUUGUCCAACACCUUAGACCUCUACAAGCCAACCCAUGACAGUCUUAAUUCAUAUCUACUUCCAACAUAUGACCGACUGUGGAUGGUUUGAAUAACUUAGUCAUUCCGGAAGAAUAACCUAGUUUAUUCGGGAAGUCAAAACAUGCAAAGUGAAACACAAUAAUAAUUGAAUCCAAUAUGGUAUCAACCCUUUGAACAUAAAUAAAACACCUUUUAUUUAUCACCAUAUGAUUACACAUUAUUCAUUGUAUACUGUUUCAGCUAUCAACUUUAUUCUUGAAUUUAAAACAAUAGUUGUCCCAUGCUCCAAGCAUGUACACUAUGUUUUCUUAAACACUAGUCAUGCCACACACCAAGUAUGCAUACUAUGUUUGUCUAUGAUCUUUACUUUGUGAACUAGAUCAAUUGAACAUAACUUCAAUGAUUCUCUUUUCACACUCCCAAAUCCUUACUGCAAAUGCAAGAAUUCCAAAUUCAUGCCAUUUACUGAAAUCUGUUAGAUUCUAAACUUAUAUGCAUUGAUCCUCUUGUAAUGAUUAUGCACAAAGUCAGAAAGACUUGACAACAAUCAUUACAGAGUAUUCCAAAGGAGAUCAGCUCCUUGGAAACAUCCUUCUUGCAUUAAGUUUCCUAAUCUUAAACAGAUUGAAAAUUCUAACUUUGAAACAUUUCCAGAUUCCAUUUUGACUAUCACUUCUGAACAAGAGUUGCCUCCUUACAGAUUAUGUCAAUAUGGUCCUUCCAGAAUUAUCACUAUACUUCCAACUGUCCUUGAGCAACCAAUCUUUGGUAAACCUUAGAUUGUCCUCGACAAUUGUUUAAUCCUUUUAGUCAUAUCCAGUUCUAAACCUUUUCCCUUCUUAAUGCCCCAGGCAUUUGGAAAAUUUUAGAACGGAUGAAUAUAGCACAUGUAAUCGAUCCUAUAUCCGAAGCAUAUGGGACACGAUUCAUGAUGUCUCACAUAAAGACUAAACCAGUCUUUUGCUAUAAUAUUUCCAUUUCAAUUUGCCAAGUUCUCAUAAUUCAGAUUAUGAAAAGGGAUGCCGUAAUCAUAAUCGAAUUUUAGAACGCAAAUAAUGGACCCAUAUACAGAAUUUCCUUAUGUUGAGCCAUUCCAACAUGAAAUUCAUAUAUAUCCUUGACUAAAUGAUUAAAACCUCACGAUCUAAGCUUAUAGAUUUGAGAUGAAGUAUAAUUUCCUCUCCCUUAAUUAUAGCAAAACAACUUUUUCCCAAUUGAAACUUUUGUUUUCUAUAAUUAACAUUGCUAACUUGCAAUACUUAUCAUAAUUAUCAUGCUCCCACUAACAUGAUGAUUAUUAGCAUAACACUUAUGCUCCCACUAGCUUUGACAUGUACUCAGAAAUCAGCUGGACUUCUAGAAAUCAAUACUUCAUUGACUUUCUUACCAAAGUUCAGAUUUCUGAUACUAGAUUGUUUUGAUAAAACUGUAUCAAAAUCAUACACCUUCCCUUAGAUAGCACACUUGUGUAUCUAAACAAUUAUGAAGAGGGAUGCCGUAAUCAUAAUGUUUAGACCUUUUUGCCACUUCUCACAAGUCCAAGUUAGUGUGCCGGUUAACCACACGCGCUCCACUAACGACUUUGAGAAUGCAAAUAUCACAAUUGCUAUCUAGCUAAAAUCUACUUAGUGAAAGUGUUUCCUCACCAUCAUUUUCAUGAAUCGGAGAGAAACCUUAUGACACUUAGAUUUAAUGGUGUAUGUGUUCUUAUCCAUGUGAAUUGUCAAAAUCAUAGUCACAAGACAAGGAUAAUGACAAAUCCAAACUCAUAUGGACUGAACUCAAUCUUAAUUUCUUGCCACCUGGCAGCUCAAGGGCCUACCAUUGCUUCCAAGUUGUUGUGCAACAAAUUGAGAACUCUAAGAACUCAUAUGCAAAGCCAACUUUAACUGGAAUGGGCACAGAAUAUGUCAACACGAUAGGUUAUGAACCUCAAGUUGUGUGCUAGUGAAGAACUUUAGGUUUUAUUCUUGAUUAGUUCUUGAGACUUUCAAGACCUUUAAGACUCCCACUGUCCUCUUGACCUAUAAGACUCCCUUGUCAAACAUCCAAGAGAUAGUGCGGAUUCUAAUCAAGACAAACACUUCACACAAUUGGCCUAAGUUGGUCUUUGUUUUAUCCAAAACAUCACAACUUACCAAUUUCAAAUGUACAAGAGUAGAAAACUUUUACUCUUACAUUUGACAAGUGUUUUAAACCUUCUUUAAGACAUGUCACUCAAGUUACAAUCUUGGAGUAUGACUCUAAGACUUGUAUUGGAACGAAGUAUGACUCAUCUUCUUGAUUUAACCAUUUCAACAAUUCAAGUUCCUCUUCUUAGUCAUAAGAAUGCACUAAGAUUUCCUUAGAGAACUAAUUUUGAUAUGGUUUCUUAAUCAUUAAGAUGAUCACAAAACUGAUACUAAAGUACUCUCCCAUCUAUUCAGAUUUGAGAAACUUCUAUCCUUCUGCCUAAUUUGAUUCUUCUUAUUCGCUCUACCUUACAUUGAAACUUUUCCAAUGUCUUAGAAUUAUACUUUAGCGUGCAAGUAUAAUCAUAUUUACUAAGCUUUAGUAAAUUAUGACGAAAAUCUUAUCGAUCUUUUGUGGUGGACUUAAUCAGUGCACAAGAAUGUGUACUCGAUCCCUUAGUCCUUUACUUGACUCACACAUCCAUGUGAACAAGUAAUUCGUGUUAAUUUUCCAAUACUUGAAAGUUCUCAUUCAUCAUGCUAUACAACUUGCAUGAUUCCAAGUUCCGGUCCAAUUGAAACUUGGGUGAUGAGAAUCUUUCCUUAUUUUGUAAAUUUAGACAUUACCACCAAUGAAAGAAUCAAUUUCAUACUUCCACUCUUGCUAUUAAUGGAAUCUUAUAAGCAACAAUUUUUCCUCAAAUGUCAUUGUAAGGAUAUUUUAAAAUAAAUAAAAUCAAAAAAUUUUCUUUUAUUUUAAAACUUUGCGGAAAAAAUUAUCCUCACAAUACAUAUGAAAACUUGUUGUUAUCUAUUUCUAAGCAAUAUCUCAUAACUCCUAAGAAGUAGCUUAAGAAUCCGAUCUUCAAAGUACGCGAUAGAAAUCCAUCUAUGCGAUCAGAUUCAGCAUAUUCUUUCUUUAUGUUUCUGCACUUUUCUUUGAUUCUUAAAACAUCACCAUGUGACCCAGUCACAUCAUGUAUCACGAAUCUCAUAAUAGAAACUUAACAGAGUUAGAUAGUGGACUUUACCUGAAGUAGAGUCAAACUUAUUGACUUUAACAUCCUUAGGUAAAUUUGGCAGCUUCGCAACCAAUGCCCCUUCCUUUGGCAAUAUAAACAUAUGGACCCUUUGAUAAUGGUACACGGGACUAUCACAGACUUAGCUUUUCUCUUUACCAUUUGGUCAACCGAGUUGACUAUGGCCGAUCCCUUUCCAUUGGGAAGAGAAUGCUUUACUGGAUAUCCAAUGUCAUCAUUGUCAAUGUCCAUAAAGUUUUAGGAAGUUGAUCUUAGCAAAUAGAUAAGAUCAUUAAGGGUCUUGUCAUAGUCUGUUUCAUAGGUGUCCCAAAGGAACUCACUAUGUGACUUAGAAAGUGGUUGAACCACCAACUUUCUCAAGACUUUGACACCCAACUCUCCCGGCUUGUCAAUAUGUGACUACAUCUCCAAGAUGUGACCACACCUAGACCUUGCCUUGCCAAUAGGGCCUGAGUGACCUUAAACUUUUCAAGAACUUGUGGGUUAGGGAGAAUAAUUUGAAGAGGUGAAGAAGUAUGAUAUCCAUGGGACAUCAUCUUCAUUAGGAAACCUUGUUUCAAGAGAUUUGGGAAGAUCAUAGGUGUCUAAACCAGACAUCUUUUGGGAGAUAUUCAAGAUAGUUGAUUUAAAGUCCUUAAUAUGACACCCAAUAUGAAAUAUUAAGGCUAGGACCCAACAAACUAUUUUAUAACUUAGAAGAGGUAUGCCGUAAUCCAAGCUAUAAAAUAUUUGAAGGUAGGUGAAUGACGAUUCACCAAUUUCCACCAAGAUAAACGAAAUGUAUUAUUAGGUUUUAAUUGGUUUUGAAACUCCUAGAUCUUUGAGAUUCAUUGAACUUUUCAAAGGCAUGUUUCAAUCUCGAGUGUGCCCUUCAGGUUUUGUGACUGGGAUGCCGAGGAUCACAAAACAAGGUGUGAAGUAACCAUGCAAAUCACUUGGUACCCUUAAUAAAUUACCCCUCAAUCGAUGUGCCGGUUAACCACACACGCUCCAUCGAUACUAUGAUAAAUAUUAAGUCACCCUUUACCUACCUUGUUAAGUCCAAGUUAGUGUGCCGGUUAACCACACACGCUCCACUAACGACUUAGACAAAGUGUAAAGUGUAAUUUCAUGGAUUAGCACCUUAUUCACAUUUUUCCUAAGUAACUAAGAUUGGGUAUUAUUAAGAGUUUAGUUACUUAGUAUUAUCAUUAAUACUUUUAAUGAAGGGAGAAUUCUAGUCCUGUCAAACCCGUUCGGCUAACGACCCUCCACCAGUCAAGCAAGCGGUGGGUGAGAGUGGACACCCAUUAAGUUGCCAUUUUAUAGGCAACAACCUUAUACCCACCUUAUAGACCGGCUUCGUGAAUGAGGCGUACUAGCGGUAAGACUGACUUUACUCUUAUACAUAUAUAUAUUAUUAACUUAUAAUAUUAUAAAGUAUAAGGGUUGAAUUUUAACUUUUAAAAUUCUAAGGGCUAACUUGGAAUUAAAGUAUUCAUAAGUGAAAACUUUUCAAAUUCCAAAACUUGAGGGCAAGUUUUGAAACUAUUCAAAACUAAUUAAUUCCAUAACUUAUGUGUUUAAAGUAGUUUUAAUCCAAAAACUCUUCAAGUUCCAUAACUUGAGGACAAGUUAUGGAAGACUUUAAACUAAUAAAAGAACUAACUUUUUCUUUAUUUUAUAACUUAUGGAUUUAAUUAUGGUUACAUAUUUUUCUUUAAUGAAGUGACUCUUGAACCUCCAUAACUUGAGGACAAGUUAUGGAGUCAUAAAACCAUUUAAUUAGAACUAGACUCUUCAUUUUGUAACCAUUGCCAACUUUUAUGAGUUUUAUGAAACUUAAAUGUGACUUUUCAUAUAACUUGAGGACAAGUUACAAAAACACAUUUUAGAAUCAACUCUUAGAUUAAUUUGGAUUGAAAACAACUAUUUCACUCAACUUUUCUAUUAAUCUAAGCAACUCAUAAGAACAAGAUAAUUCAAAUCAAACUUUUUCAUGUAAUUAGUCUAAACCUUAAACUAAUACAAAACAUGAAUCUAUUGACAAUUAUCUUUGAAAAUGGAUUAGCAUGAACAUUACCACAUCAAAAACAAGUUUAUAAGUUCAAAAACAACUUAGGGUAAUGUUCCUAGUCCAUUUCUAGCCAAAAAACUCGAAAAUAUGCUGUCUGGGGGUCCAACUCGUCGAGUGCAUGAACAAACUCGGCGAGUUGGAUCGAAUUCAUCACUUUUUAGGCAUGGACUCGUCGAGUCUCCUGAUGGACUCGCCGAGUCUGAUGGCCAGACAGCACCAGAUUCGUUUUUUCAGCUUCUAUUGCAGGUAUAAAAAGAAAACAAGCCUAGGCUCUGAUACCACUGUUGGGUUUUGAGCAUUCUAACACUCCUAAGUGUACAUGCAACCCUAAAUACCUUGGAUCUAUGUUUUCUCUAUUAUACAUGCAAAUAAGAACUUCCAAGGUAUUAUCCUAAUCUAGCAUACAAAACAAUGAAUGUAACAAGAUAGAAUACAUACCUCUUUGAUGUAGAAAGUCUUCAUGAAGCUUGAGUGCCUAGUGCCCCAAGUGUGACACCUCAAAUGGUUCACACAACACCAAAUACACUUGGAAUAACUUGAGAGAAAUCUACACUUCAUGAAAUCGGCUAGCCCUUUCUAGAAUGACACUAGUCUCCGAUUUUGUCAAGAAUAAGAUCUUUAUAUAGUGUUACAAUUAGGGUAAACCCUAAUUGUCAUGACUUUCCAUUUCCUUGGAUCCAUGGGUACAAAUACACCAUGGAGCAUCCAUGGACCAUCCUAUGGGUUUUAGCCCAACUUGAUUAUCCAUGGAGCAUUAGCCCACUAUACAAGUAUGGAUGAUUUACACAAUCAACCCAUAUAUUUAAUUAGUCUUCUUUUGAUCACUUAAUUAAUCCUAGAUUAAUUCUUGAUCAAUACUAAUUAAAUAAUCUUAUUAUUCUUAUUAUUAAAAUAAUAGAACUUAUAAUAUAUUAAUAAGCAUAAGUGUCUUAUUUCUCUCAUUAUAGUCUAUCCAAGUGCAAGAUGCCAUGCAACCCAAAUGGACCAUGCCGGGUCGAGUCAAGUCUUACCAAUUAUAGUUAUGGACUUAGACAUUAAUCCAACAGUCUCAUGCUCCAAGCAUGUACACUAUUUUUUUCCUUUUUCAUAAACACUAGUCAUGCCAUACACCACGUAUGCAAACUAAGUUUGUCUAUGAUCUUUACUUUGUGAAAGAGAUCGAUUGAACAUAGUUUCAAUGAUUCUCAUUUCACACUCCCAAUUCCUUACUACAAAUGCAAGAUUUCCGAAUUCAUGCCAUUUACUGAAAUUUGUUAGAUUCUAAACUUAUAUGCAUUGAUCAUCAUGUAAUGAUUUUGCAAAAAGUCACAAAGACUUGACAAAAAACGUUACAGAGCAUUCCAAAGGAGAUCAAAUCCUUGGAAACAUCCUUAUUGCAUUAUGUUUCCUAAUCUUACAUAGAUUUAUUGAACAACUUCCACCUAUGGGAUCAUUUCCAUAUUCCCCUUUUGACUAUCACUUCUAAACAAGAGUUACCUUUUUUUCAGAAUAUGUCAAUACGGUCCUUCCAACAAUUAACACUAUACUUCCAACUGUCCCUGGCCAACCAAUCUUUGGUAAACCUUAGAUUAUCCUCAACAAUUGGUUAAUCCUUUUAGUCAUAUCCAAUUCUAGACCUUUUCCCUUCUUAAUGCCCCAGGAAUUUGGAAAAUUUUAGAAAGGACGAAUAUUAUAACACAUGCAAUCGAUCCUAUAUCCGAAGCAUAUGCGACACGAUUCAUGAUGUCUCACAUAAAGACAUGAUACUAGACCAGUCCUUUUGCUAGAAUAUUUCUAUUUGCCAAGUUCUCAUAAUUUCAGAUUAUGAAAAGGGAUGUUGUAAUCAUAAUCGAAUUUUAGAACGCAAAUAAUAGACCCAUAUAUAGAAUUUCCUUAUGUUGAGCCAUUCCAACACGAAAUUCAUAUAUAUAUAUCUCCUUGACUAAAUGAUUAAAACCUCACGAUCUAAGCUUAUAGAUUUGAGAUGAAGUAUAAUUUCCUCUCCCUUAAUUAUAGCAAAACAACUUUUUCCCAAUUGAAACUUUUGUUUUCUAUAAUUAACAUUGCUAACUUGCAACCCUUAUCAUAAUUAUCAUGCUCCCACUAACAUGAUGAUUAUUAGCAUAACACUUAUGCUCCCACUAGCUUUGACAUGUACUCAGAAAUCAUCUGAACUUCUAGAAAAACAAUACUUUGUUGACUUUCUUACCAAAGUUCAGAUUUUUGAUACUAGAUUGCUUUAAUAAAACUUUAUCAAUAUCAUACACCUUAUCUUCGAUAGCUCACAGGUGUGUCUAAACAACUUUAAGAACUAUGAAAAGGGAUGUCGUAAUCAUAGUCUCGAUUGUUUAGACCUAUGCCACUUCUCACAAGUCCAUGUUAGUGUGUUGGUUAACCACACAUGCUCCACUAACGACUUUGAGAAUGCAAACAUCACAAUUGCUAUCUAGCUAAAAUCUACUUAGUGAAAGUGUUUCCUCACCAUCAUUUUCAUGAAUCGGAGAGAAACCUUAUGACACUUAGAUUUAAUGGUGUAUGUGUUCUUAUCCAUGUGAAUGGUCAAAACCAUAGUCACAAGAAAAGGAUAAUGACAAAUCCAAACUCAUAUGGACUGAAGUCAAUCUUAAUUUCUUGCCACCUGGCAGCUCAAGGGCCUGCCGUUGCUUCCAAGUUGAUAUGCAACCAAUUGAGAACUCUAAGAACUCAUAUACAAAGCCAACUUUAACUGCAAUGGGCACCGAAAUAGAAAUAUGUCAACACGAUAGGUUAUAAACCUGACGUCGUGUGCUAGUGUUAAACUACAUGUUUUUUUAUUCUUGAUUAGAACUUGAACUUGUUUUUUAAGAUCUUUAAGACUCCCACUGUCCUCUUGACAUAUAAGACUAUCUUGCCAAAUAUUCAAGAGAUAGUGCAAAUUCUUUAUGAAGACAAACACUUCACACAAUUGGUAUAAGUUGGUCUUUGUUUUUUUUUUCAAAACAUCACAACUUACCAAUUUCAAAUGUAUAAGAGUUGAAAACUUUUACUCUUACAUUUGACAAGUGUUUUAAAACUUCUUUAAGACAUGUCUCUGAAGUUUCAAUCAUAGAGUAUAACGCCGAGAAUUGUUUUUGGAACGAAGUAUGAAUCAUCUUCUUGAUUUAACCACUUCAACAAUUCAUAACUCCUCUUCUCAACUAUCAGAAUGCACUUAGAGGAAGAAUUUUGAUAAGGUCUCAUAAUCAUUCAGAUGAUUAUAUAACAUGAUACUAAAGUACUCUCCCAUCUUUUCAGAUUUGAGAAACUUUUAUCCUUCUGCCUAAUUUGAUUCUUCUCAUUCGUUCUGCCAUACACAAAUUUUUCCAAUGCUUCAGAAUUAUACUUAAGCCUAUAAGUAUAACCUUAUUUACUAAACUUUAGUAAAUCAUGACGAAUAGUCUUAUCGAUCUUUUGUGGUGGACUUAAUUAGUGCACAAGAAUGUGUACUCGAUCCCUUAGUCCUUUACUUAACUCACACAUCCAUGUGAACAAGUAAUUAGUCUUAAUUUUCUAAUGCUUGAAAGUUCUCAUUCAUCAUCCUAUACAACUUGCAUGAUUCCAAAUUUCGGUCUAAUUGAAACUUGGGUGAUGAGAAACUUUCCUUAAUUGGUAAAUUUAAAGACUACCACAAAUGAAAGAAUCAAAACCAUUUUCCUAUAUUACUAGCAAUGGAAUCAUACCAACAACAAUUUUCACAAAUGUCAUUGUAAGGAUACUUAAAAUAAAUAAAAUCAAAAAUUUCCUUUUAUUUUAAUAACUUAGCGGAAAUUCUUAUCCUUAAAAUCCAUAUGAAAACGUUGUUGUUAUCUAUUCCUAAGCAAUGUGUCAUAACUCCUAAGUAACAACUUCAAAAAUUCUAAUGCGAUCGAAGUCCAUUUUCGCGAUCAGAAGCAUCAUAUACUUCCUUUAAGCUUUUUCUCUUUUCUUUGAUUCUUAUAACAUCACCAUGUGACUCAGUUACAUUAUGUAAUAAGAAUCUCCAAAUAGGAGCUUAACAGAGUUAGACAAUGGACCUUACCUGAAGUAGAGUCAAACUUAUUGACUUUAACAUCCUUAGGUAAAUUUGACAGCUUCGCAAAUAGUGCCCCUUCCUUUCGCAAUUUUAACAAAUGGAGCCUUUGGAAAUGGUACAUAGGACUAUCACAGACGUAGCUUUUCUCUUUACCAUUUGGUCAACCGAGUUGACUAUGGUCGAUCCCUUUCCAUUGGGAAGAGAGAGCUUUACUGGAUAUCCAAUGUCAUCAUUGUCAAUGUCCAUAAAGUUUUAGGAAGUUGAUCUUAGCAAAUAGAUAAGAUCAUUAAGGGUCUUGUCAUGUUUGUUUCAUAGGAGUCCCAAAAGGAACUCACUAUGUGACUUAGAAUGUAGUUGAGCCACCAACUUUCUCAAGAAUUUGACACCCAACUCUCCCGGCUUGUCAAUAUGUGACUACAUCUCCAAGAUGUGACCACACAUAGAUCUUUUCUUUCCAAUAGGGCAUGAGUAACCUUAAACUUUUCAAGAACUUGUGGGUUAGGGAGAAUAAUUGGUGGAGGUGAAAGAAGUAAGAUUUCCAUGGGACAUCAUCUUCAUUUAGGAAAGUUUGUUUCAAGAGAUUUGGGAAGAUCAUAAAUGUCUAAAGCAAACAUCUUUUGGGAGAUACUCAACAUAGUUGAUUUAAAGUCCCUAAUAUAACACCUAAUAUGAAAUAUUAAGGCUAGGACGCAACACAAUACUUUUAUAACUUGGAAGAGGGAUGCCGUAAUCCAAGCUAUAAAAUAUUUGAAGGUAGGUGAAUGAAGAUUCACUAAUUUCCACGAAGAUAAACGAAAUGUAUUAUUAGGUUUUAAUUGGUUUUGAAACUCCUAGAUUCUUUUGAGAUUCACUGAACUUUUCACUGGCAUGUUUCAAUCUUGAGUGUGCCCUUCAGGUUUUGUGACUGGGAUGCCGAGGAUCACAAAACAAGGUGUGAAGUAACCAUGCAAAUUACUUGGUACCCUUAAUUNUUACCCCUCAAUCGAUGUGUUGGUUAACCACACGCGAUACUAUGAUAAACAUUAAGUUACCCUUUGCCUACCUUGUAAAAUCCAGCUAGUGUUCCGGUUAAUCACACAAGCUCCAUUAACGACUUAAGCAAACUACAAAGUCUAAUUUCAUGGGUUAGCACCAAGUUCACAUUUUCCUAAGUAACUAAGAUUGGGAAUUUAUAAGAGUUUAGUUACAUAGUAUUUAUCAUUAAUACUUUUAAUGAAGGGAGAAUUAUAGUCCUAGUACUACCAGUUCGGCUAACGAUCCUCCACCAGUCAAGGAAGCGGUGGGUGAGAGUGGACACCCAUUAAGCUGCCAUUUCAUAGGCAACAACCUUAUACCCCCUUAUAGACCGACUUCAUGAAUGAGGCCUACUAAUGGUAAGACUUACUUGCUCUUAUANAUAUAUAUUAUUAACUUAUAAUAUUAUAAAGUAUAAGGGUUGAAUUUUAACUUUUAAAAUUCUAAGGGCUUAACUUGGAAUUAAAGUAUUCAUAAGAGAAAACUUUCCAAAUUCCAAAACUCGAGGGCAUGUUUUGAAAAUAUUCAAAACUAAUUAAUUCCAUAACUUAUGUGUGUAAAGUAGUUUUAAUUAAAAAAAUCUUCAAGUUCCAUAACAUGAGGAAAAGUUAUGGAAGACUUUAAACUAUCAAAUAAUAUAACUCUUCUUCUUUUUUAACUUAUGGAACUAAUUAAGGUUACACAUUUUUAUUAUUUAAUGAGGUGACUCUUGAAUCUCCAUAACUUGAGGACACGUUGUGGAGUCAUAAACUCAUUUAGUGAGGACAAGACUCUUCAUUUUGUAACCUAUGCCAACUUUUAUGAAUUUUAAGAAAAUUUAAUGUGACUUUUACAUUUUAGAAUCAAUUCUUAGAUUAAAAUGGAUCAAAGACACAUAACCAAUCAACCUUUUCUAUUAAUCUAAGCAACUCAUAUGAACAAGAUAAUUGGAAUCAAACUUUUUCAUGUAAUUAGCAUAACACUUAUACUAAUACAAAACAUGAAUCUAUUGACAAUUAUCUUUGAAAUUGGAUUAGUAUGAACAUUACCACAUCAAAAAAUAAGUUUAUAAGUCCAAAAACAACUUAGGGUAAUAUUCCUAGUCCAAUUCCAGCCAAAACAAUAAAAUAUAUGCUGUCGGGGUCCAACUCGUCCAGUGUAUGAACAAACUCGACGAGUUGGAUGCUUUUUUCCUUGGACUCCGCGAGUUCAUCAGUGGACUCAGCGAGUCUGCAGUGCAAACAGCACCAAUAUUCGAUUUCUAAGCAGUUUAAGCAAGUAUAAUAAGAAAACAAGGCUAGGCUCUGAUACCACUGUUGGGUUUUGAGCAUUCUAACACUCCUAAGUGUACAUGCAACCUUAAAUACCUUGGAUCUAUGUUUUCUCUAUUAUACAUGCAAAUAGGAACUUUCCAAGGUAUUCAUGCUAACUAGCAUAAUAACCUUGAUUCAUAUGAAUAUAUCAAGUUAGAAUUACAUACCUCUUUGAUGUAGAAUGUCUUCAUGAAGCUUGAGUGCCUAGUGCCCCAAGUGUGACACCUCAAAUGGUUCACACAACAUCAUAUGCACUUGGAAAGACUUGAGAGAAUAUAUACACUUCAUGAAAAUUGGCUAGCCCUUUCUAUCACACAUAGUGGCCAAAUUUUUCCCAAGAAUAUGAUGUUUAUAUAGUGUCACAAUUAGGGUAAACCCAAAUUGUUAUGGCUUUUCAUUCCCUUGGAUUCAUGGGUUCAAAGACACCAUGGAGCAUCCAUGGAGCAUUCUAUGGGCUUUAGCCCAACUUGAUAAUCCAUGGACUCUUAGCCCACUAUACAUGUAUGGAUGAGUUACACAAUCAAACCAUAUAUUUAAUUACACUUCUUUUGAUCACUUAAUUAAUUCUAGAUUAAUUAUUGAUCAAUACUAAUUAAAUAAUCUUAUUAAUAUAUUCGAACUUAUAAUAUAUUAAUAAACCUUAAGUGUUAUUUCUCUCAUUUUAGUCUAUCCAAAUGCAUGAUGCCAUGCAAUCCAAAUGGACCAUGCUGGGUGGGGUCAAGUCUUACCAAUUAUAGUUAUGGACUUAGACAUUAAUCCAAAAAGAUCACCUGUAAAAGCCUUUGUUUUUUAUAUGAGUGAUGUGAUUUAUUCGGGUGGGGAGGGCAAUUUAUCACAAUGAUUUGUCGCGUUCCGAGAUCUACAGUUGAUAAAAUUUAAUUGGAACUAGUUUUAGUUAAAAUUUAGAGUCUAAACAUUGUGGUUAGGAAGACAUACCAAUAUUCACAGGUGGUUUCGGGAGAGUCUCUCCUGCAGUGAUCAUCAGUACUCACCACCAACAUUCCUUUAUAUUGGACAAUCUCUGUUGAAGUGUCCAGUUUCACCAUACUCAUAAUAAGCCGAACUUACUCCAAUAUCGGGGACUCGAAUGGUUGGUUGUGUCAGUGUCCUAAAGAAGAGAGCGGUGUGCCCCCUCCUAUUGAAGUUUUUGCUGUACAUUUCUCGACAAACACCGAUGUGAUGGAAAUUGCACUUGUUACAUUUUGGAAGGUUUCCAGCAUAUCGAUUGGGGGAUGUUGGAGUAGUAGGAACAACAUUAGGAAAAGUAGCAGCGUGGACUGCCAUAGUUCGUUGCCUUUUGGUGGGUCCUUGAGUCGGGGCGCCCCUUUUUCUUGGUCCAAAACUUUCGUUUCUUGGGUAAUACCUCUCCUUUGUCGUGGGAGUUAUUAGGUUUGUGAUUUGAGGUGUUCUUGCAGGUACACACCUGCUACUGUCCUUGGUUACCACCGGGAUUGGUACUACAGGCACCAAUCCCAUUUCUCUUUAUGUUGAUAGUGUUAAGUUGUGACAUGAUGGUUGUCACAACAACUGUUAUAGUGGCUUGAAAUGUAGUGAUCUCCAUUUGUAGAACUGGCGUUUCGCUGGUAAGCUGAUUACUUUCUUGUUGCGGCAUGAUUCUGUUGUGUGGUAUGAAACGAGUUUGUAAGUAACUAUGGUCGUUUCUAGUUGUAUCUCAUCUAUGUUUAUAUGUAUAUACAUAUACAUAUAAAUUACAUUUUUUGUUGUUUGGUUCCCGAAUGUUUCGAUCAUAUCAUCAAAAUGUAGUUAUGGUGGUAUUAUACGUACGUUAAGUUAUCAAAAUAGAACAUAGUCUUCAAUACAUUAAGUUGUUUAGAUUACAUGGGUCUUGGAGGGAAUACCUCUCUUCAUUUACUACUACUGGUUGUGAUAAAAGAUGCAAUAAGCCUAAGACAUAGUGUGAGCAGUUUAGUCACUAGCUAACUCGGCUAUACUAGACUAUCAUAUGCCAAAAUGGCGCACUAGGUGCCUAGCCAUUUAGCUUAUUUCACGAGUGGCCUCUUCUGCUCUCUGCUCUACUAAGGCUAUCCUGGCCUCAGCUGUAAUGAUGUGUUGGCUCAUGUUGGCCAUUGAUGGGUUAUGAGCACUACAUCAUUCCUAUGGUGUACAUGCAAACCCUAAGGCUUUGGAUCUAGUUUGUCUAAUGAACAUGCAAUAAUCAUCCAAAGCCAUAAACCUUAGAUCUAGCAUACAAUAACCAAUUUAACAUAUGAAAGGGUUUAGAUCUUACCUUUGAUUGUUAUGUAGCAAUAACAAUCUACUCCUUCUUGUAAUUAGCUUCUGAAAGCUUAGUGUCACAAGUUUCACACCUCUAAUAGCUCACAAACACCAAGAGCAAGAUGAUGACUUAGGAGAAGAGUGAGAGGCGCCAUGAACCGUCCAAGGAACUCCAAGAAUGCUUAGCCAUGUUUUUGGGUGCCCUAGAGGUCUAUCUAUACUUGUGUCUACUGCUAGGGUUUUAGGAGAAACCCUAAUUCUCUGUUUAGGCCAUAAGCAACCCAUGGAACCUUUCUAGAUGGCCCUUGGACGAAAAUCAUAUGGGAUUCCCAGAGAUUUCGUUCAAUCCCCCUCCCAAAAGGAAUCCAUAACCCACAAUGCAAUUAUCUUAUAAUUACAUUAUCAGUCCCCAAAGUUUAAUUAAUCCAUUUUAGCCACAGAGUUAAUUUCUUAAGUAAUUCUUGAUUAAUAUUAAUCAAACUAUAUGAUUUCUCCUUUACUAUAUUAUUCCUAUAAUAUAUAAUAAAUCAUAAUUAAUCUCUUUCUCCACAAAUCAUCCUAUCAAUUUGCUUUGGUGAAGGCAAUCCAAAAGGACCAUGCAUAACCGGGUCAAAUACUUACCAAAUAUAGUUCGGGCUAAGACACUAAUCCAAUAGUCUCCCACUUGGAUAAUUCUAGUAACUAUAAAUGCAAGUAUUAUCCGAUUAGCAAUCAUAGCUCUUAAAAUCUGCUGUCAACUCUGAUCUUAUCAGAAGCGUGUCCUUUAGAUAAGGGAUCAUAUAUUCCUCCAUUCUAGAUAUCGUAUAGAAAAGAGACAUGGAUUAUAAUCAUUCUCUCAGUCUAUGCGUUAUUUCCCGUUUUCUGAUUUAUAACGACUGACAACGGAGUCGAAUUUAACACAUCAAAUUAGUCUCGGCUUGGCCAAGCUCUUAGGGUGUCAUUACUAAAUCAUCGAGGGGCCCACAUAUAUCGCUUUUAUCCCACUUUGGGUAAAAGGAACAGAUAAACUUCGGCUCAAUGCUCAGUUUUACUCACUCACCGAAUCACACACAACAAUACGUUUGAUAACACCAAGUUACCGGUGCGUUUACAUAUUAUCAAUGUGUAACCGACUCGUAAGAUACAACUCACACAUCUCGGUUUCAAGAAGAUAAGGUAUUACCGUGUCACCAAUCACUCGUGAAAAAAUCCAUGAAGCGAUCCAAGUGAGCGUGGGUUUAAUCCAAUACUCUAAUCUUAUAGCAGCACUCAUGAACUCUGUAGCAAACUUGUGUUAUGACUAAACACUUUAGUCAAUAUACAAACGGAUUCAUGACAAUCUUCAUUCAUUCCUACUUCCAAAGAAUGAGCGACUGUGGAGGGUUUGAAUAAUCUUAUUUUUCAGGAAGUCAAAACAUGCAAAGUGAAACACAAGAAUAAUACUAAUCCAAUAUGGCCCCAAAAUUUUGAGUAUAAAUAAAACACCUUUUAUUUAAUCACCAUAUUGAUUACUCAUUAUUUGUUGAUUCAGGUAAUCAACUUCUUACAUGAACUAUAAAAACAAUUGUCCCACGCUCUUAGCAUGCAUACUAUGUUUACCUAUGGUCAUUACUUUGAGAAAUAGUAUAACUGAAUAACAUUUUUAAUCACACUCAUUUCACAAUUCCCAAUCCUUACCAUAAGUGUGAUAAUACCAAAUUCUUGCCACUUAUAGAAUAUAUUCGAUUUUAACAUUUUAUGCAAUGGUUCUUUCAUCAUUUCCAUAUUUGCCAAGGUCACCAAGACUUUCCCAAUGAAAUUACUAAUUGCUCUAUUGGUGAUUGAUACAAGACAAUUUCAUAUUCAUGAAGUCUCACAUUCAAAGUACAUUCCUUUGAACGUCAUUCUUGCAUAGAAGUUUCUAAUGUAGACAUAGAUUCUUAUCGUCCAACUCCCAAUAUGGAAACAUUUCCAUAUUUUCCAUAUGACAACUCAUUCUAAAUAGAAUUUUAUCUAUUCAUAAUAAUGUCAAUAUGGUCAAUUCAUGACUAUACUUCCAACUGUCCACAAGCGACCAAUCCUUCCAACAGUUGUUUCAUUAUUUUAGUCAAAUGCGGUUCUAUUCCCUUUUUUCCUCUAAAUGCCCUAGGCAUUUGGAAAAUUUUAGAACGGUCGAAUAUUAUAGCAUAUGCAAUCGAUCCUAUACCCAAAGCAUAUGGGAUACGAUUCAUAAUGAAAAUGUGAUACUUUACUAGGUUUUUGCUAUAAUAUUGUCAUAAUAUUCCUAUUUGUCUUGUUCUCAAAAUUCGAACUAUGAAAAGGGAUGCCGUAAUCAUAAUCGAUCUUUGAGAAUGCAAAUAAUAAAUAUAUCCCUGACUAAAUUCAAUUAAAAUUUCUCGAUCUAAGCUUUUAGAUUGGAAACGAAGUAUAACAUUCUCUCCCUUAAUUAUAGCAAAAACAACUUUUCAACGCAACUUUGCAAAGUGAAACUCUUGUUUUUCUCUAAUUAAUAUUGCGAACGUACAAUACUUAAAAUAAUAAUAAUCUUUCUCCCACUAACUGAUGAUUAUAUCCAUUCCACCAUAACAUUUAUGCUCCCACUAGCUUUAACACGUAUCAGAAAACAGUUGGACUUCUAGAAGACAAUACUUAUUGACUUCCAAAGUUCAUAUUUCCAAUAUGAUAUGCUUAGAUAAGCCUUUAUCUAAGCUUCUCAAACUCAUACACCUUUCCUCAGACAACUCACAUGUGUGUCUAAACAAAUUCAGAACUUACAUUACUAAGUCCCAAAUGUUCAGACCAAUUGCCAAAUCUGACAAUUCGAACUAUGAAUAGGGAUGUCGUAAUCAUAAUCGAAUUUGAGAAUGCAAUUUAUAUAAUCGCUAUCUCCUUAAAAUCUCACUUAGUGUAAGCAUUUCCUCACAAUCCUUUUCAUGAAGGAGAGAAACCUUAUGACACUUAGAUUUUAUGGUGCAUGUGUUCCUAUCCAUCCAAAUUUGUCAUAACCAAAAUCAUAAGAUAAUGUUUGUGACGAACCCAAACUCUUAUGGACAGAACUUGUUCAUUCUUAAUUUCUUGCCAUCAAGGGUCCCACCAUUGCUUCGAAGUUAUUUUGUCAACAUGAUAGGUUACAAUACUCAAGUCGUGUGCUAGUGUUUAAUAGGUUUACUUCUUUAUUGGUUCUAGAAAGUUUUCAAGAUCUUUAGACUCCCACUGACCUCUUAACGUAUUAGAUUCUCUUAUCAAGAAACAUUUCUUGACAAAAUAAAUAUCCAAGAGUUAGUGUGUGUCUAUAUCAAGACAAAACCUACACGUAAUUUGGUACUAGUUGGUCUUUGUCUUAUUCAAGACAUCACCACUUACCAAAAUGGGCAAGUGUAAGAACAUUCCUACUUAAGAUUAUGUCACUGAGGUUACAAUAUUGGAGUACGAUUCUAAGACUUGAUUUUGGAACGAAGUACGAUUCAUCUUAUUGACUUAACCACUACAACAAUUAUCGAUUCCUCUUCUUAGCCAAACUAGUUCACUAAGGUGUCCUUAGAGGAUAAAUUGUAAUAUGGUUCCUACAAUUACCAAGACGAUCAUAAAACAAGAAACAAAAGUACUCUCCCUUCUUCUUAGAUUGGAGAAACUUUUUAUCUUUCUGCCUUCAUUGAUUCUACUUAUUCGUUCUUUCAUUCAUUGAAACUUUUCAAUGAUUCAGAAUUACACUUAAUCUUGUAAGUAUAACCACAUUUACUAGACUUGUAGUAAAUCAUGACGAAUAAUGUUAUUAUUAUUUACGGUGGACUUGACUGGUGCACAACAUUGUAUAUUAGUUCCUUUAGUCCUUCACUUGACUCACAUACUUAUGUAAACAAGGAAUAAGUCUUAAUUACUUAAGUACCAAGACUUCCAUACAUCAAACAAUACAAGUUGUAUGAUUCCAAGUUUCUGUCCAAUUGAAACUUUGGCGAUGAGAAUCUUUCCUUACUUAGAAAAUUAUGUCACUACCAUAACUAUCAUAACUAAGAAUCACAUCCAUUUAUAGAAACACACAAACAUCAAUUUUUCACAACGAUUUUAUUGCAAGGAUAUAUAUAUAANUAUUUUCUUCAUAAAAGUAGCGUAAAACAUGUCCUUACAAUGCAAAAUCAACUAAAAAACUAUGUAAUCAAAUAUUCCUAAUGUUAGAACACUGAAAGUGACCCUCUUGAACUUUCCAUAAUCGCAUCCAACUUGCUACCGCAAUGAAAGAAUCUACCGCAGUCAUCCGAAUUCAGAAGACAGCAAGCCUUAGUACUUAGUCUUUUUGUCUUUUCUUUAUGCUUUCUAUUUUCCAGUAUGCCUUGCAUGGCUACUUCUAAAAGUUAUCUUUUGUAAUGCUUAAGUCUCUAUAAAUAGAGCUCACUUGUUCUAAAUCAAAUACUCAUCUUCAAGUAUCUUUACUACUUAUCUCAGAAAUCUUCUCCUCUCUCUUUUCUUACUAUCAUAUCUGUUCAUAAUCUCUCUUCGGAGCAAGUCCUUGUGACUUCUUCACUAAGUUUGAUCUCACUUACUAACAUUGGUUUGAAUGCAAUCCAAGUUAUGAAUGAACUUACUUGUAUUCUUGAUAUAACAAUUGCUGUCAUUUACAUUACCUUACUUUCCGCAUCUAACUCACUAACCUCUAACUAUUAAUAUUAUUGUUGAGCUAACAGAUCCUUCGAGAUUAACUAUUCCGCUAUAUACUUUUUCUAACCAUUUUUGUUCAAGUGUGUCUCAAAGUUUUUCUCUCAACAAUUGGUAUCAGAGCCAGAGUGGUUGCUAUUAGAAUAUCGGAAAUCUGAUUUUUCAAAGUGCCCUCUAUACCACUGAAGGUCAUUUCUAAACAAAAUUUCUAAUGGCACAAUCGUUAUCACUGAAUGUUUCCAACAGUGUUGGUGGUUCCUAUCAAGCCCCAAUACUGGUUGCAAAUGGGUAUCACCACUGGUCUCAAAGGAAGGAGAGAUAUCUCAGACAACUUGGUAGAGACGCCUGGAGAUCUGUAGAAGAAGGACCCAAUGUUCUAGUCCUUACCCCUGUUCAAACUGAUGGAGCCACAACAAGACUUGGAGGAGGUCAACCAGCCUUGAAUCGUCCCACAAAAGAUGAUCUAAACAAAAUGUUGAGUGAUGCUAUUGCCUUUUAUGAAAUCUCUUGUGGAGUUGCUCCUGACAACUUCGACAUCAUCAUAAAUUGCAAAUAAGAAAAGGAGAUUUGGGAUGUUCUAAAAAAACUUGUAUGAAGGUUCAGAGCAGGCUCAAGACAAGAAGCUCACUACAGCACUCAACAAAUUCUAUAAUUUCAAAGCCGACUCUGGUGAAAGUUUGGAAGAUUCAUUUAAAAGGUUCAACUUGAUUGUCACAAAACUGUCCAAUGCGGGUACCAUCCGCAGCAAUCAUGAAACAAAUCUGCAGUUUCUUAAUGGCUUAGGAAGACACUGGACAACAGCCAAAAUGAUUGUACAAGGUGACAGGAAGAUUCACUCCUUAUCUCUCUAUAAGCUUUAUAGAGAAUUGCAAGCUCAAGAGUCCACUGUACUCAAGGACUGCUCAGACAUCAGAGGACCACUCACAUUAGUAGCACAAUCACCUCACACUCAAACCUAUCCCACCUCAUAUGACUCUCCACCGCAGUCAUAUGAAGCUGACUAAGAAUAUGACGAUGAAGAAGAGUUUCAGAAUGCCAUUGCUCUUAUUAGUCAGAAAUUCAAUCGCUUACCACCUUCAUUUCGCAAAAACCNAAUUCAAUCGACCACCUUCAACCGUAACUUUCAGAACAAUCACUUUUGUUCCACUAAAAACCCUCUCCCUACACCGCAGUCUCAGCAGACACAGUCAAAAUAAGUACCACCACAGUCCAAAUCAACUGAAUCUGGUACCUCUAUAGAAGACAAGAGUGAUGUCAUCAUAUGUCACAAAUGCAACAAGGAAAACCAUUUUGCCAAAGAUUGCAAGGCAAAUGUAGUAAAAGAUAGAGCAUUCUAUCUUCGAAUGGCUCAAGAACUGGAAGAUAAAGAAAAGGGAAAGGCCUACGUUGCUCAAGUGAAAAGGAAUCAUCAAGUGUGGUCAUCAAGAGAUGAAGAUGAAGAAGUCCUUAGCACAGGAAAAGGCAAGAUCUGUAUGAUAGCAACUACUGAUGAAGAUGGCUCAUCCAAUCCAAAGAAGAACCAUUUCCAUAUGGCUAAAAAUGGAACUCUCAACAUUCUGGAACAGGUAAAACUCAAGAUUCAAAAUUUAUAUAACAACAUCCAUGAUUGUCAACCUUUCAUAGACACACUCAAUGACACUUGUGAUGCUGUCUUACAGACUACAAUAAAGCCCUAGAUGAGAAGAACAUCGCUUCGCAGGAGAUGUUCCAUGUUAGAGGAUGUUUGGACAAUAAGAGACUCAAAAUGGCAAUGAUAGAGAAGGAUUUAAUGUUAGAAAAGGAUGCUAGAAUGCUUAGUGAAACUCAAUUAGAAAUAGCCUUAAAUCAAAGAGAUCUAGUACAAAAUGAAAUUGUACGUUUAAAUCUUUUAAUUGAAAAGAUGUUUAAUGAAACUGAGGCCAUUGAGAAUCUUGUCAAUAAUAGGAAUGUUGAUAACACUUUUAACUAGGGUUGGUCCAAUGGUUACCCAACCGCAACAGACUCAUCACCUUGGUUCACACCAGAACAUCCCUAUGUCCUACCAGACCGCAAUUUCUUAUUUCCAGUCAAUAGCAAAACAUUUCCUGAGGAUAUCCAAGCCCACUUUGGAAAACUUCAUGAUUUGAGUAAUAAUUGUAUUAUAGAAGAAAUUCUCCCUGAAUCUUCUACUCAUGUCAACAACACAGAUUCUCAGACAUCAUCCGUAGUUGAUGAGGAAAUUGUUAUUGAAAGUCCUGAAGUCUCGUUAGACUUCCCAUCCUUACAGUCCGACCGCAGUAUCUCUGACUGUAGUCACAUACUGCAAUGUGUCCCAUAACCUAAUAUCAAUUGUCCCAAAGAAGUAUUCACCAAGACUUACUUUGUAGUAGUCCAAAACACGACUCCAUUGAUUAAAGUCAAGACUUUUGUGAUCAUUGAGCCAAUUAAUCAUGAAUUACCAAUUGAAAACUUUGAAUUUGGUCAAUGCUCUCAAAGUCCUAAUUUCUCAAGUUCGGAUGAAUCGAGUCACUAUUUUUCAAAAUCCUCUAAAGAUUCUAGGAAACCACAAUUAAAUAUCACUGACCGCGGUUCUUCUAAGACCGAAGCAAAAAGAGUUUUUAAAGAAGAAUUUCGUUCUCGUGGAAAGCAACGAGAAAUUUGCUUAAAAGUCAAGAAAAUUGUGAAAUGUGCUAAAUCAAAAAGUCCUAAGAAGUUUGUUUUUUCAAAUUAUCAUUUCAAGAAAACUGUUUCCAAGAAAACAAAAAGAAAGGAGUUCACUGUUUCUGACAAUACUCAAAAACAAUCCAAACAUGAGGAUAAGUCUUUUCGUUCAAAUGGAUUUCAAAUCUAUUGUAUUAAUGACCCAAAAUGGAAAGGUAUCUUACCUAUUCCAACCAUUUCAGUAUCACAGUCCCAAAAAUGGAAAGCAAUUUUGCCAAAUCCGGCACCCAAAAAGUCAUUUCAAACAAUUAAGAAAUCACAUCACAAAAGGUCAGCACGUAUCUUCACACCUGCCAGAUCUGCACAGAACACCUUUUCAAAACACACAAAAAAAAGGUCAAAUCUGACAAUCUCGGAAUGGACAAAAACAUACUUUAUCUUCAUAACAUCAGACCAGGUCAAAUGUCAGGAAAAAUGACAAAAAGUUCUCUUGUCAAUGUCAAUGUGAAAGAAUUCAAAAAAUUUCCAACACCCAGGAUUUCAGGGUCAAUCCUAAUAAUUACUCUCAAUCUCACAAAACUCCAAAUAUCUUCAAACACCCAGGACUAGGUUUGAAAGUUUACUUAAAACCUGUCCCUGCCACCUCACAUCAUGCAUCGAUUAACACAUCGUAUGUGACCUCGGGCUCUAAACUCACUUGGGUGCCCAAAUUAACCACUUAACUGUGUAGGCAUUGUGCAAGGAGGAUCAAGAAGAAGAAUGGUUGAUCGACAGUGCCUGCUCCUUGCGCAUGACCGGAAGGUUAGAAUACCUUCGGGAUUUUAGGCCUAUAUGCAAUGGUGGAAAUUUCACCUUUGGAAACAAUGCAAAUGGCAUCAUACGAGGCUACGGUGUUCUCACCACGGGGAACUUUUCCCUUCAAAAGGUUGCUUAUGUAGAAAGCCUUAAACACAAUCUCAUCAGUGUUGGCCAACUAUGUAAAACAGCUCAUCGAGGAGAAUUUGAUGAUCAAUUAUGUUACAUAAUGAAAGGUGACCGAAGCACUUGCUUAAUCAAGUCUCGCUCAGAAGGCACAAUGUAUCCUCUGGAUAUUUCUCUCAUCAUUGGUAAACCGCAGCUGUGUUUUCUUUCUAAAGCUAUAUGCGACCUCAGCUGGCUAUGGCACCGCAAGCUAGCUCAUCUCAACUUUAGAUACAUCAGCAAUCUAGUCAUUGGAGAACUAGUCCGCAGUCUCCCUAUUCUCAAAUUCAACAACGAUACUCUCUGUCCAGCUUGUGAAUGUGGAAAACAAGACAAAGCCAGUCACCCUCUGAUAAUGGAUUCAUCAAUUUCAGAGCCUAUGGAACUAUUACACAUUGAUCUCUGCGGUCCGUCAACGGUAGCCAGUCUCCACCACAAAAAAUACAUGUUGAUGAUUUUACUUGCUUUACAUGGGUCUUCUUCCUCAGACUCAAAUCAGAGACACCGCAGAUCUUUAUCAAAUUAAUCAAAGAAAUAGAACUUCAGAUCAAGCUUCCAGUCAGACACAUCCACAGUGAUAAUGGAACUGAGUUCACUAAUCAUCUUCUCAACAGUUUCUUGGUGAUAACGGAACUGAGUUCACUAAUCAUCUCACAACUUCUCAGCACCCUACACUCCUCAACAAAAUGGUGUCGUCGAACGAAGAAACCGCACAUUAGUAGAAGCAGCCAGAUCCAUGCCUAACUUCGCCCAUCUUCCUCUCUACUUCUACGCUGAAGUUGUAGCAACUGCGAGCAUUGUCUAGAACCGAAGCAUUGUGUGCAAACGUCUCAACAAAACACCAUACGAAGGUCUUAACAACCGCAAACCAAAUGCUCGUUUCUUUCACGUCUUUGGGUGUAGAUGUUUCGUGAUCAACAACAGGGAUCAGCUUAAUAAAUUUGCACCAAAGUCUGAUGAGGGUAUCUUCCUUGGUUACUCCACUAACAAGGUUGCUUAUUGAGUGCUUAUCAAACGUACAAGGUUGAUCAUUGAAAGCUUCGAUGUGAAAUUCGAUGAUUCUCACAUCCGCGAUGCCCCUUCAUCCACUGAAACCACCGCAAUCAUGGAAUGUGACAUUCCUGCAUCUUCUGGCCCCUUAGGCCUAGUCGAAGUCAAUUAUGAUGAUCUCUUUGAACCGGUUGAAACGGCAAAACUAUCAAAAGUUCUUAUAUCUCCCACCGCUCAACAACAAAAUGCUGACAUCUCUGGACCAUCUACAUCCGAAGAAGUUUCUCUCAACACUUCCACCUCUCCGAUUGAGGGGGAAAGCUCUACUCUAGAUCUAGCGGCAACCGUCGAGGUUCCAGUACUUGAUGUUGUUCAAGUUCCUACCAGCAGAGAAGCAUUUCCAUCAAAUGUAUCCUCAGAUUCGGAUGAUGAACUCAUAGAGAAUAUUGAUACUAGAACCGAUCCAAGAAUUGUCACUCUCCCAUCCGCAGUCCAGGGGGAACCCUCUCAGGUUCCAGAUAGACUCCCUUCAACUAUCUAGGGGGAACCUAUCAAAGAUAAUGUCUCUCUCACUCCAACAAGUCAAGAUGACUCAGUAGGUUGUUCUCAAAUCCAAGGGGAACUUCCUUCCUCACAUGAAGCAACCUUGGAUAUUCUACCGCAGCUGCUGAUCAUCUGAUGCCUCGCCUACAUGUAUGGACGAAGGAUCGCCCACCAGGUCAAAUUAUUGGGAAUCCAUCUGUAGGUAUACAAACUCGAUCUGCCAAAGAUUUAUCUGAUCAUUGUCACUAUGCAGCAUUUAUGUCCGCAGUCGAGCCUCAAUCUAUCAAAGAAGCCUUAUUGGAACCAGAUUGGAUUUCUGCAACGCAAGAAGAACUGGAAGAAUUUGAAAGAAACAAAGUGUGUCAACUUGUUUCCAUCCCACAAGGUCAUACUAUUGUUGGUACCAGACGGGUUUUCAAGAACAAGUUAGAUGAAUCUGGUGCAGUCAUCAGGAAUAAGGUAAGGCUAGUUGCUAAAGGUUAUAGCCAACUGGAAGGUGUUGACUACGAUGAGACAUACGCUCCGGUAGCUAGAAUUGAAGCAAUUAGAAUAUUCUUAUCAUAUGCCUCUCACAAAAACAUCAAACUGCGCCAAAUGGACGUUAAGAGUGCUUUUCUCAAUGGGGAAUUACAAGAAGAGGUUUAUCCUCAACAACCUCCCGGAUUUGAAAGUAUCGAGUUCCCUGAUCAUUGUUACAAGCUUCUGAAAGUUGUCUACGGUCUGAAACAAUCCCCUAGAGCUUGGUAUGAAACUCUUUCAGAAUUAUUAGUUUCUUUAGAAUACAAAAGAGGAGUGAUUGAUCCCUCAUUAUUUAGAAAAGCAAACGGGACUCACCUUAUGCUUGUACAAAUAUAUGUGGAUGAUAUCAUCUUCGGAUCAUCUGAUCAAGGAACGGUGGAUGAAUUUGCUAAGCUCAUGACAAACAAAUUUCAAAUAAGCAUGAAUAGAGAGAUUAACUUCUUUCUAGGUCUCCAAGUCAAACAAAUUCAGCAAGGAAUAUUCAUUCAUCAAGAGAAAUACACUACUGAACUUCUGAAGAAAUACUCAAUGCACAAUUGUUCUUUUGCUAAGGUCCCUAUGGCCUUCGGAUAUAAGAUCUCUAUUGAUCCCUCUGGUGAAUCUGUGGAUCACAAGACUUAUAGAGGUAUCAUUGGUUCGCUAAUGUACCUCACCGCAAGCAGACCUGACAUUGUCUCCACAACCGGUGUGUGUGCAAGGUACCAGGAUGAUCCAGAAGUGUCAGACAUGACCGCAGCCAAACAAAUUAUUUGGUAUCUAAAAGGAAGCAAAUCUAUGGGUCUAUGGUACCCCGCAGGCAAUGACUUCAAUCUUCAAGCAUAUAUUGAUGCAGAUCAUGCCGAAUGGAAACUUGAUCGAAAAAGUACAUCUGGUGGUUGCCAAUGUUUAGGAGGAAGACUUGUCAGCUGGUCCUUGAGAAAACAAAGUUGUGUAUCUUUAUCUACCGCAGAAGCAGAAUACGUGGCCGCAGCAAGCUGUUGUUCCCAAGUCCUUUGGAUGAAGACACAAUUACUAGACUACAGGUACAAAAUGCUGCGGAUACCAAUUUACCGUGACUCUGAAAGUGCCAUAGCAAUCUCUCACAAUCCUAUUCAGCACUCUAAGACAAAACAUAUUGAGUUACGGUAUCAUUUCAUCAAAGAUCAUAUUCUGAAAGCUAAUAUUGAACUCAUCUUUGUUCCUACUCAUGAAGAGAUUGCUGAUAUUUUUACAAAAACACUUGACUCUACAAAACUUAAUGUAUUCAUACAAAUGUUGGGAAUGAUGAAUCCAGACCUGCAAUUCUUUUUGAAUUCUUAGCUACCGCAGACCAUCCUUGGUCUCCGUUGCGGUUCUAAUUGAGAAUUACAUAUGAUGGAUGGUUUUGGUACCGCAGUCUAGGUACCGCAACCAUAUAUCAUACGUAUUACUCAGGGGACCUAAUGGUCUGUUGUUACUAAUUUUUGUUCCAAGUGUUUUCCACUCAGGUCCUCACUGCAGUCUUUCCUUUGUUCAUCCGCAAUGACAUCUCCAACCACAAUGAAGUUUUUCAUCCGUGAUCUUUGUGAUAAUUUCUCAACUGCUGUUUUCAACUUAGAAAAAAAACUUUGUAUGCUAUUUAAUGAUCCUUCAUUAAAUAAAAUAAAACAUUCUCAUCGAAACUGUCAUCCUUUCUUUAAAAAAAAACCUAUUAUCAGAUCUAUUUUAGGGAUAAUGACAAAAAGAGCAUAUUUCCAUCCAACUCAUUCUUAAUUUGUCCUUUCCUCUCCCAAACAUGUCCCAUCUCCCAAACACGUCCCAUCCAUUACCACUUUCUCUCCCAUCACCCCCACGAUUACCUGACGUAUAAACAUACAUCCAUCUUUACAUUAAAUGCAAACCCUUUUUGGAUAUCUCCCAAAAUCUUUUUCAACCCGUUUUUAAUAUAUGUGGCUGAGAUUCAAUCCAUCUCUCAACCUUUCCCCCCAAUAAAACCCAAUCAUCGUUUUAUCCUCUUCUUACCAUUAGCUAGGGUAAAACCUUUUUCACCCCCUUUAUAAACCCAUCUUCUUCUCAAUCAAUCCUUUACGCUUUCUGAAUAUCGAUUGUCGCUCAACUUUCAAAAACCUCCAUAACUCUCAAGAACUCUGUUUCUCUUUUCUCACAAUGGUGAAAUCCGGUUCAUCCAAGAAGCAAUCCAAGGCUUCAGGUUCUGCAAAUCCCACAGGUUCAGACUCUCCAUCAAUCGCCUCCAGCAAUUUCAGAGCUGUGUUUGAAGAUCAUCCUUCAUACAAUGCUCCCAUCAAGCUCAUGAUCAAGUUCCUCAAAAAUCACCCUCUGUUUGACCCUUUGAUGCAUUUACAGAAAUCGUACCAAUUUCCACCUUGUUCAAGUGUGCGUUCUCGGCAUAUCGACCACUCCAAAACCAUCAAGAAGUGCAUCUCCAUCUUGUGAAUGACGCAUUGGUCAUUCUGACCAAGGAGAAGUUUCUAAGGUCCAUCAAUAUACUGGUUCAUCUGUCGAUCAAGUUCUUCUCUCCAUCAAUGGCGGAUAUUACUGUUGCACUAUACCAAAUGGGAUACUAGAAAAGAAUCAAGGGUAUCGGCGAAUUCAAGAAAAAUCAACUGCCCUUAGUGUGGCAAUAUGUGUGCCACUUCAUCAUCCGAAGCCGAUCUGGCAGAACCGGAGGAACCGUCAAUAUGGAGCUUAAUCUCCUUGAAUUGGUUUGGAGCAUAUUCACAGGGCAUGAUGUGAAUUACGGGAAAAUUCUAUGGGAUGACUUCCAUCAAUACAUCCCUAAGGAACACCGCAAGGAAAACCCAACAGAACUCACCUUUGCUAGGUUCUGGUCACUGUGCAUCCUUGAUCUUCAUGCCGAUGCAACCAUUCCCAUGGGCAACGACAUCAAUAUUUUUGCUGCAAAAGAUCUCAAAAGGUACAAUCCUUCAUCCGAUCAAUCUCUUUUUGGACCAAUCCGCAGGCUUCCCAACCAUAUUCUCUCUACUCUUGGUCCUGAGACUGCUGAUGUCUCAGACCAUAUUGAGCCUACGGAGGGUAUUGCCCCAUACCCUUCUACCCCGCCUCUUCCAUCCACAACCAUUAUCCCCGAGGGUACCACAGUCCCCUCUGCCACUACUCUAUCUAAUCUUUCUCAAAGAAGAAAGACGUUGGCAUCCAAAAGGAAACAAAAAAUACCACAUAAGGAUGCUCCCAAACCAACCGCACCCGCUAUGAAACGCAAAACCAAACCCACCAUUGUAUCUGGCAAUGAUUCUGAGGAAGAUAGACAACCAAUAUCUAUCCUCAAGAAAAGAAAAACCACCAAUACCUCUAGCCAAAUGCAUGACCGGACUGAUACCUCAGCUUCUCCACAGGCUAAGGUAGUCCUUGGGAUUGCCGCAACUCCAUUCAAUACCACCAUUGAAUACCACUCAAGCUCAUCAUGUGAGCUUGUUUCAUCAUCAUCAUCAUCUGAAUGUGGAGAUAGCCCCCCAGUUCUAUCUCAAGCAGAUAAAUCUGGACAUCGCCCUAAGGUCUCCAGGGCUUCCCGACUGCAUGUUUUUUGUCCCGAGGAGUUACACUCCAUCCUCUUGAAUAUAUCCGAAACACUUCAAACACCAAUCCAUCCGCAUGGCAUUUCUUUGCUCAUGCCAGAAUAGAGCCGAGGCCAAACAUGACCACGGGUCACGGAGACCAAGGAAGCUCCGAAAAUCCUAUUCUGCUUCCAUCAUUUACAGGUGGUUUAGGCACGGUGAGCACACAUUUGCAAGGAUCCGUGAACCCAAGGGNCAUUUCAAGGAUCCGUGAACCCAAGGGACACCUUGGUGCACACUCAAAGAAUUGACGGAGAUGAUUCAAGUGAUUCUUGGAGUCGGUAUCAACCAACUACUGAUACCGAAAUCAAGAAAUAUGCUGCCUUUUGAAGGGCAUUCCAAGCGCGAAAGGAUCAACAAAUCAAACAGCAACAGCAAAAGGAACGAGAACUUCAGGUGGCUGCUAAGUAUUGGGCUGAUGCAAUCAACAAUGCCUAUACUGUAGCAGGAAUUCUUCAUAUUCAAGACUGGAUGUCUCAGAAGGCCGAUUUACUCCUCAAAGCUCAAGCAGCAUCCGUAGCCCAACAUACCACCCAAAUUCCUCCCACUACGGUUCUUGAAACAUCACAAGACGAAGGUCCUGAAAUAGCAAUCAACUCAGCUCCUACCUUCGGUCUUGAUGAUGAUGAUGUACAAGAAGUAAACAAACCCUCUCCUUCUGAAGACGACCUCAUGAUGUUCGAUGAAGGUGAAGAAUCCAGUGGUUCUCACCACUCCACCUCAAAGCCCAAGAAGAAGAAGAAGAACGCAGUUAGCAGAAAAGAGUUUCUAUCUCUCCAGGCAAAAGUCGAUCAAAUCCUGGCUGCGGUCAAGCCAACUCAACCGCAACCAGAGGAUGUUCCUGGACCUCAAUCGCUAAUUGAGAGGAUAGAAAGACUAGAAUCAAGAGAACGACUGGCUGCGAACGCAUAUCUUUAAUGGUCAAAAUGGGAAUCUAAUCCCUCGACAACAAUCGCAAAGCAGACCAAAAAGACUUCAUAGAAGCCACUGAACGCCUAAUCUCCGAAGUCACUGCAAUCAAGAAUGAUCUUCAAACCGCUAUCAAAGACCAAGCCUCUCAGUCUCAAAAAAUAAUAGAUGAAACUCAUACCGCUUAUGAGUCUACCAUCUCGGUUCUUCACUCCACCAUUAAUCGCCUUCAACAAUCAUUAACAACCAACUUCCAUGGCCCUGAAAUCCUUCAACUCACUAAGGAGAUUCAUUGCCUGCUGUUCAAAUCAUCCUCUCCAACCAAUCAACAACUCACAGACGCUAUCAAGGCUCAAUUUUAGGAGGCCUUCUCCAAAAUUGAUGGCCUUUAGACAUGGCUUGAGGAAGCUCCGGUUUGGACUUCCUUAAGAGGGUGAAGUGAAAAAGAUCAAGCCCAUCAAUCUCAUCAAUCAGAUCACGAUCAUCAACCUUAGAAAUCAAUUUCACCACAUCAAACUCCACCUAUCAUCACUGGCAAAUUUCCCUCACCGCAACCAUCAUCUCACAAUACGCCUCGCAUUCCGUAGAAACCUGAAACUCCCCCCCCCAACUUCAACCAUCUUGAGGAGCAUAUGUAAUCUCCAAGCUCAACAGACUCUCCUACCACCGCCCAAAGGAAAAAAGACUGGAGGGCAGCCAAACUUGGUGAAGAGAUCUAGAGGCUAUGCGGAAUUGAUAUAGUCAUGGAUGAAACUGUGAUCAAUUCUUGGGUUAAUCCACACCGAAGACUGUUGGAUGAAGACUACACUCCUCAUCUUACAUAUGCUGAGCCCCUACUGAUGGUUACUGGGAUAUCCCUAUCUCACCCAAUGCCAAAUACUUAACUGUGUUUGAGCCAUUUGAUCAAAGCCUUCCAGAUGCCAAACGAUUGCCUAUGGAAUUUUAGAGACUUUCUCAAUUCUCUGCAAAGCAUGCUUCCCCCUUUGAGCACAUUUGCUCAAAUGAUCGACCAUCCACAACGGUAAACUACAGAGCCAGAAAAUUUAUGAAGCCAGAGUUUUUCGAAUACACUCUGACCCGAAGGGAACAAGAUUAUGUCCGGAACCAAGCUGAUUUUCCUUGCAUGAAUCUGGAGGAGAUUUUACUCAUUGCAAGAGUUUUCCAGGUCAAGGUAGAGAAAUAUCCGAAGAUGCAGAUUGCACUUGAUAGAUUCAAUAGCUUUCUGAUGGAUAUUCUAUGCGAUUUUGCUAAAAUCGAUGCAGAUAUCUAUCCUAUCAUUGCGAAGAAGCAUGAGUUACCUCCACUUGAUCCAGCACCGAUGCCCUCCGAAGGCUUUGAAGAAAGACCCUUAGGUGCAUCUAACAUCCCUGAACUCGGUGUCAUCUUCAAAAGAAAAACCGAUAAUGUCAAAUAUCUCAUCCCUACCUCUACUAUUCAUCGUCUAACAAAGAAGUAGCUUGACAUAUAUCAGACCGCAGUAGAAAAGUCAAAAUAUACCACUCCGGAAGUAAAGAUUGAAAUUCUAAGGAGGAUCACUUGGUUAGAAAGUGUCAGGAAGUUUUGGUGGAUUCUAAUCAAGCAUCUUCGUUUUGAUAAGCGAUAACAAUUAAAGAGGUCACUUAUGGGGAAAUUGUCAGAACACUGAAAGUGACCCUCUUGAACUUUCCAGAACUGCAGCCAACUUCCUACCGCAAUGAAAGCAUCUACCCCAGUCAUCCGAAGUCAGAAGACAACAAGCCUUAAUACUUAGUCUUUUUUUCUUUUCUUUAUGCUUUCUAUUUUCCAGUAUGCCUUGCAUGGCUACUUCUUGAAGUUAUCUUUUGUAAUGCUUGAGUCUCUAUAAAUAGAGCUCACUUUUUCUAAAUCAAAUACGCAUCUUCAAGUAUCUUUACUACUUAUCUCAGAAAUCUUCUCCUCUCUCAUUUCUUACUAUCAUAUCUGAUCAUAAUCUUUCUUCAGAGCAUGUCCUUGUGACUUCUUCACUAAGUUUGAUCUCACUUACUAACAUUGGUUUGAAUGAAAUCUAAGUUAUGAAUCAACUUACGUGUAUUCUUUAUAUAACAAUUGUUGUCAUUUACAUUACUUUACUUUCCGCAUCUAACUCACUAACCUCUAACUAUUAAUAUUAUUGUUGAGCUAAUAGAUCCUUUGAGAUUAACUAUUCCGCUAUAUACUUGUUCUAACCAUUUUUGUUCAAGUGUGUCUCAAAGUUUUUCUCUCAACACCUAAAAAAUCUAUCAUAACUUCCUAAGCUCAAAAUCUGAUCUUCGAAUCCAUGUGAUCGUAAUCCAUUUCUUCUUGAUCAGACUCAUCUCGCUUUUUCAUCAAGCUUCCUCUCUAUUCUCUGAUCCUAAAAAAACAUUCAAAUGUAAUCUUAUCACAUCAUGUAUUAAGAAUCAAUUAAUAGGAACUUAAUGGAAUUAGAUAGUGGAUUUUACCUGAAGUAGAUCGAAACGUCUUGACUCUCCCAUCUCUUAGAUCUCUCAGGUAGAUAGGGCAGCUUCGUCUCCAAUGCCCCUGCUCUUGGCAAUAAAAGAAAAUUGACUCUUAUGGAAUAGCACCCUGAACUACUUCAAACAUUUCGUUUUUCUUGUGAUCAAACUUUUUGAUCAUGGAAUGCAUUUCGUUGCCAUUUCCUAUGUCCAUGGAGGUUUGGAAGGCAGAUUCACCUAUCAACCUUGCUUCUCCAGUGCGCUAAAUCAUUACUGAUUCAGUAGCAACAAGCAAAUAGGUGAGAUCGAUGAGGGUCAUGCCGUGGUCUAUCAUAUAGUACUCUCUUACGAACUCACUAUAUGAGUCAGGAAGUGAUUGAAGAACCUAGUCAACGACCAGCUUCUCAUAGACAACGACUCCCAACAUUCUUAACCUAUAAAUGUGUGACUUCAUCUUUAAGACGUGUGCACACACUGGCUUUCCUUCUUCAUGUUUACUUGCCAAAAUGGCUUGAGUGAGCUUGAACUUUUCAAGCCUUUUAGCUUUUGGGUUAGGGGGAACAAUAGGAGGAGGUGGUGGAAGUGAAGCAUGAUCUCUUGUUCCUUGAUCGAAUCAUGGAAUACCAUCAUCAUGUUGAAAGCUUCUUCCACGGAAUUUGGGAAGACCAUAGUUGUCAUACUUUGACAUCUACAAAACGGGAGAAAAAUUCAAGUUAGAUGAUUGAUUGAUUGAGUCCUUAAUAAAACACCCAAAUGAGAUAUUAAGGCUAGGACCCAUCACGAUACUCUAAAACUUGGGAUAGGGAUGUCGUAACCCAAAUUGCAAAAUAUUUGAAGGUAAGUGAAUGACGAUUCACUAAUUUUCCACCAUGAAAAACGAAAAAGUGACUAAGUUUUAAACGUAUUGAAAACUCCUAGAUCUUUUGAGAUUCAUUAAACUUUUCAAUGGCAUGUUUAAAUCUCGAUAUGCCCCUCGAUUUGUGACUGGGAUGCCGAGGAUCACAAAACAUUGUGUGAAUAACCAUGCAAACUUACAUGGUACCCCCAAUGUUACAGUCACCUAUUCGAUGUGCCGGUUAACCACACACGCUCCACCAAACUAUGACAAACAUCGAGUCACCCUUUGUUACCUUUGCUUAGAGCCCAUUUAGUGUGUCGGUUAACCACACACACUCCACUAACGUUUUAGAAAGGGUAAAAAGUGUAAUUUCAUGAAAUUACAUUAAAUUCACUUUUGCCUAAAUUAACUAAGAUUUGGGAAUUUUAUAAAACAUUUAGUUACUUUAUAACUCAUUAUACUUUUAAUGGAAAGGGUAUGCCCUAUCCUAUUCAUUCGACUAACGAGCCUCCACUAGUCAAGAGUACGGUGGGUAAGAGUGGAUACCCAAUAGCGGUCAUUUUACAGGCCACUUCCUUAAACACCCCUUAUAGACCAGCUUCAUGAAUGAGGCCUACUAACGGUAAGAUUAGCAUUUAAGUUAUACAUAUAUAAUAUUAAACCUUUUUAAUUUUAUACAUAGUAUAAGGGUGUAUUUUACACUUUUAAAAUACUAUGCGGUCUAAAUUAAUAAAUUACACUUUUAAUUUAAUUAAAUGUAAACCAUAUCACUAUGGAUUUAUUAACUUUCUUUUAAUUAUACACUUAAUAAAUUUAAUAAAGCCAUAAGGGUGCAAUUUGAACUUUUUAAAAAAUUAGUGUUUUGGAAUUUAACCUUUUAAAAAUUAAACUUUUAAUCAAAAUUUGAAUACCUAAACUUGAGGGCAAGUUUUGAAACUUUUCAAAACAUUAGUGUUUAGAAUUUAAAUAUUUCAAAAUGAAACUUUUAAUCAAAAAUUUAAAUUCCAAAACUUGAGGGAAAAUUUUGAAACUUUUCAAAACUAUCUAGAUCAAAUUACAAAUAAUUAAAAUUAAUCAAAUAAUCGGUAAUUAUCCAAAUUUGACCUAAUUCAAAUUCUAACAAGAAAAUUCAAAAACAAAAUUACAAAUAAUUAAUAUUUAUCUUAUAAAACAAGUAAUUAUCUUAAUUUUGACAAUUAUCUUCUAUUUUGGUAAGGAUAAUCACAAAAUAUUGAUAAAAUUUAGAUUUACAAUUGAAAAAGGUUUUUGAUAAUUAUCCCACAACAAAAUAGGUCAAAAUCCCGCAAAAUCAACAACGAGACCUGAAAACUCGUAGAGUCAAGGAUGGACUUGUCGACUUCACAGUGAACUCGGCGAGUUCAUCUAUGAACUCGAUGAGUUCUGGCUCCAGAUUGCAGAUUUUCAUUAUUUUUAGCAUGAACUAUUAUAUGAAGCAUUAAAUACAUCAAACAAACAGUCUAUUCUCUGAUACCACUGAUGGGUUAUAAGCACUACAUCAUACCUAUGGUGUACAUGCAAACCCUAAAGCUUUGAAUCUAGUUUGUCUAAUGAACAUGCACUAAUCAUCCAAAGCCAUAAAAAUCUGGAUCUAGCAUACAAUAACCAAUUUAACAUAUGAAUUAGGGUUUAGAUCCUACCUUUGAUUGUUAUGUAACAAUAAUAGUCUAUUCCUUCUUGUGAUUGGCUUCUGAAAGCUUAGUGUCAUAAGUUUCACACCUCUAAUGGCUCACAAAUACCAAGAGCAAGAUGUUGACUUAGGAGAAGAGAGAGAGGCACCAAAAACCGUCCAAGGAAUUCCAAGAAUGCUUAGCCACGUUUUUGGGUGCCCUAGAGGUCUAUUUAUACUUGUAUGGGCUGGUAGGCUUUCAGGAAAAACCCUAUUUCUCUGUUUAGGCCUUAAGCAACCCAUGUAACCUUUCUAGAAGGCCCUUGGACGGAUAUCAUAUCGGCUUCCCAUAGAUUUCAUUCAAUCCCCUUCCCAAAAGGAAUACAUAGCCCACAAUGCAAUUAUCUUAUAAUUACAAUAUCAGUCCCCAAAGUUUAAUUAAUCCCUUUUAGCCACAAAAUUAAUUUCUUAAUUAAUUCUUGUCUAAUAUUAAUCAAACUAUAUGAUUUAUCCUUUAAUAUAUUAUUCAUAUAAUAUAUUAAUAAAUCAUAAUUAAUCUCUUUCUCCACAAAUCAUCCUAUCAUGUUGCUUUGGUGAAGGCAACCAGACAUGACCAUGCACAACCAGAUCAAAUACUUACCAAAUAUAGUUACGGGCUUAGACACUAAUCCAACAGUCACUUCCUCCUCUAAGGAGUGUAGACGGUCUGUAAGGUCCUCUUGCUCUGCUCGCUGGUUCAGUAUUGCUCCUGAAUGGUGUUCUUGUUAUUAACAGAGGUGUCGAAUUUGCAUUGUUGGAUUCCGGGCAUCGCCUCCGAUCUCUAUUACUUCAUGAUGGAGAGCCAGAACCUGGGUGUCUAGACGGGCUACUUGUGGUACAAUUUGAGGUAGUGCUUGAUUUGUGGGGGUGCUGGGGGCCCGGAGUGUGGUGUGGUGUGUGCAUGCCUAACACGGAUCGUCGGUAAUCUCCUCUAGCCCAAACAUGUAGUUGGGUUGCUCUUUGUGGAGGUUCACCCUGGAAAGAAGGAGGUGAAAGGGUAUCUUGUCUGUUUUCGAUAGGGUAAGUCUUACUAAGGAUCUUUCCGGCGCCUUCAGCCUCGUCUGGCUCUUCAUCAAAAUCCUCCCCCCCACCUCUGUAAUCCCCCUCUUGGUAUUCCUCGGUUCCUACCUCUGGUUUCUCCUCAUGAACCUCUUCUGGCUCCUCCUCAAUCCACCCGUUAGCUGCCAUGGCAGGGUAGUGGGAGUCUUCGUGGUGAAACUCAGCCAUGUUGUCUAUGCAAGAAUAGAGGUAUGAGAAAUACGUAUAUGGUUUAAGUGUGUGGUUUUGUGGUAUACUAAAAUACUCCUAUAGUAUUUUAAAUGUUGCGUUUGGUUCUGGGAAUCUUAGUGUUGGUAUGUGUAGACUCGUCGUUCACUAUGGCUAUUUCCCAACAUAUGCUAGUUACACCUCAGAUAAAGAUAGUUGAUCAGGCUAUAUUUAUUCAAGGUCUAAUUACAUAUCCUGAGGCCUACCUGUAAUUUUCAACUCAUCAUACUACGUUUAUUAUGCCUUCAUUAUGACACUGCCCUAACUUGUAUGUACUUAUACUUUACUUAAAAUAUCAUUAUGUUUUUAAAAGUAUAUUUGUAGUAAGAGUGUUUUAUCCCCAUUGUAUUUAUAGGUGUAUAUCGUGUAUGGUUUGAUAUACUAGUUCACUAUAAACAAUGCUCUGAUACCAAUCCGUCACACCCCUAAACCAGAAUGGCGGAAACGUCUGGGGGCACAUGGAGUGACUUCAUGUAUAGUAUCAUAACACUUGAAUAGUAAUGAACCAUAGCAACCUAAACAUUCAUACAUUGAUAAUACAAGUUUACAUUGUUUACAACACUUUGUUUGUUCAAAUUUUAAAUACAAAUAACUAAAUAGUAGAAAACAUGAAACGAAAAUUCCGACCCUCAAGAAGGGUUGAAUGCAUGUCUACUGGUUUCCUGAGAAUACAAGUGAUUUUGAAAAGUGUCAACAAUUAAGUUAGUGAGUUCAUAAGCAUUUUGUGUGAGAAGGAUUUGAAUCGUUUUCGUGAAAAAUGAUUUUGUAUACUACUAGAAAAUCCAACAUUUUCUUUAAUAUGAACUAUAAAUAUAUGUAUUUCCGUUGUAUAUUUUCCUCGUAAAAUGAUAAUGUAUGUUUACAUAAAAUCCAAUAUUUUCUUAAAUGUGAACUAUAGAUGUAUGAAUUUCCUUUGUAUACUAACCUUGUAAAAUGAUAAUGUAUGUUUCCAGAAAAUCAAUUAUUUUCUUAAAGGUGAGUUGUAGUCUUAAACCUUAAGACCAAAAAUGUACAAGUAUUGUUGUAUUGAAUAAUUAUACAUAGUAAUAUCUUUUUAUAAAACUAAUGAAGUGUAAGCUUCCUGUAAACCGAGAUAGUAUCGCUAAUCCCUAUGAGAUUUAUGAUAACCAUGCUUGAUAUGACUGAUAUGCCUAAACGACGUUCUUCAGGGAUCGGAAUUAGUUGACAUUUGUCACCCUAGACUUGCUGGUCUAACUGUAGCGAACAUCUGAGGUAAGGGGUUGUCAAUCCCGUAUAGAUCUAUAAACAACGGUCUCGCUCUCCCUCUAGGAGACUUUGAUUAUAAUGUAGGACUUAAGGUGUAUGCUAGGUAUGUACGGUGAAGAGAAUGUCUCACAAGAGCAUUAACUGAUUUAUGUGAACUAUGACUCCUUUUUCUUGUAAAACGAAAUAAGUAUAUCUUUUAAAAAUUAUAUGUAUCUUCUAAAAUGAAGGUGUGGUUGGUGAUUUCCAAACUAUACCAAUUAUACAUUAUCUUGUUUGUUUGAAACUAAUUAUAUUAUCUUUUAUAUGAAUAUGAAAGUGAAUUUUUGUCUAGUAUUAAAAUAUCAAAACAUUUUUGCUAGAAAAGCUAUCUUUUAGAAAAAGUUUCCAAAAACCAUGUAGUUUUACAAAUCAUAACUUUUCUUAUGAUUUUAUAACAUAGAUUAUGUUUAUUUUAACAAUAUGUAUAUCACAAAUAUUUAUACCAAAAACUAGUAUAAACCAUAACUUAUGCAAAUAGAUGAAAACACUUAAUUAUUUGUAGGAUAAACAAAGUUUACUUGUAUUCCCCCCCCCCUAAAACAUGAAAAAACUUGAANAAAAAAAACAUAAAAAAACUUGAAAAUGUGGGGGUAUGAAGUUACCUUACAAGGAUUUGUGGGUUGAUUGAGAUGAUAGUGUGAAGGUCUUCAAGUCUAAGCACUUGAAUGGUUUGAUGAACUUCUUGGUGUUUUUUGUAUCCUAAGGUUUUAACAUAAUAAUAAGUGUGUAAAAUAGUGAAACUAACAUAAAAUGCUAUCUAAACACUAGGGUAUUAUGUAAAUACUUACCAAAAAAUCUAAAGGUGAACUUGGGCUUAAAUCCUUUGAAACUUGGAAAUGGGUUCUUGAGGAAGGAGGAAUUUAAUAGUAACUAGGAUGAGGAUAGUGGUGAGGUUUUGUCAAGAUAUUCUCAUUUAAAUAAAAGGAGAAGGAUGGAUGUGAAGUUUGCUUUGAUAACUGGUUGUUUUUUCAUGGAUAUAUGAUGUGUUAUCUAACGUGGGAUACUGUGAACCUUGCAUUGGAAAAGGGUGGGAUAUCACAUCUUAAAGUCAAACCUUAUCCACUGGAAGCAACCUAGGAUGAUUCACCCUUGGUUUUCGGCCACAAAGAAGGUGAUUUCGGCCUAGGCUUGGCCGAAAUCCCUUGGUACCCACUUUUAUGGAUGUUUUCGGCCUUAGUGGACUCUCCCUUAGAGUUUUCGGCCUUAAAUGGACUAAAUUUUUGGAGUUUUCGGCCUUAAUGCUUAGUAGGUUUUGAGAUUUUGGUUCUAGGUCCAUCCUAGGGUGUGUUUUCAGUUUUGAAUCAUAUACUAACGGUGAUAUCGGUUUAGGCGUAUUCUAGGGUGGGUGGGGUACUAAGCCUAAGAUUAUAAAGCAAGGUAUGGUUUAUGAUUUAUGUUUUAGCUAUUUUAUUUGUCAUGACUUGUUAUAAUUUGUUUACUUUCAAGAGCUUGUUAUAUAUAUGAUUUCCAUGGUAUAUAUUGUUGGGUUUUUUACCAUACUAACACUCUGAUGGUGUACAUGCAACCCUAGAAACCUUGGAUUUAGGUUUUUUCUCUAAAAUACAUGCAAAUUUGAUUUCCAAGGUUUACAACCUAACUAGCAUUUGUGGUUGAUUUCUUGGAGUUUUAGAGCCUAGCACCAAUAGUGUGGAGGCCUCAAGUUGUGUCACAAAUCACCCAUAACAACUUGGAAAUACUUGAGAGAAUAUGAUGCUUGCUAGAAUCGGCCCACCCUUGUUUCUCACACACACUAGUGCCAAUUCUAGAACCAAGUACCUCUUUAUAUACCAUGGAGUUUUAUGGUUAAACCCUAAUACCCAUGACUCUUCAUUUACCUAGGAUCCAUGGGUUAAAAGCUCCAUGGACUAUCAAUGGACUUCCAUAUACUCUUAGCCCAUCCUAAAUAAAUCUUAGCCCAAUUCAUAUAUAUAUGUAAGAGUCCGUAUUUAAUUAGCCUCUUUUGAUCAUUAGAUUAAUUCCAAAAUUAAUUCUUGAUCAACAAUAAUUAAAUAAUAUAAUUUCAUAUUAAUAUAUUGUAACUUAUAAUAUAUUAAUAGAUUAUAAACAUCUUAUUCUCAAAAUUAUAUUCAUACAAUUUGUUAGGUGAAGUGCAACCCAAAUGGACCAUGCCGGGUCGGGUCAAGUUAUACCAAAUAUAGUUACGGAUUUAGACACCUUAUCUAACAUUCUCCCACUUAGAUAAGUCUGAUAACUAUAGUUGCAAGUAUAACUUCAGGAACCAACCAGAAAUUGUUGUCUUUUAAACUCUGAUGAACUAUGAAGAUCCAUUUUAGAUAUGUGAUCAUAUAAUCCUUUGUUCUCAAGAUAUCAGCCGGACAAAUACAUGGAACAAUGUCGUACUUAUUGUCCAGCACUUGUUUCUCCAUCUCUGAUUGGUUUUGACAUAGAACUAAAUUGAACACAUCAAUUAGUAUCUGACCGGGCCCGACACAUAAGUCUAAACCAAAUCAUCGAGGGGCCCAUAUAUCACUUCUAUUGCUAGAGGGAACAUAUAAACUUCGACUCAUAUGCUUGUACUAACUACAAGUUGAAUUAUGCACAAACACGUUUUAUGACAUCAAGUUACUGAUGCGUUUUCAAACAAUCAAUGGAUAACCAACUCAUAGUCAACAACUCAGAAAAAUUUCAGCAACGCCAGUAGUAUCAAAAUCCAUUCGGAUUCCAACAACAACGAAAUUUUCAGCCGUCGGGCUUUUAGCAUUCGAAUUAUCAUCAACAAUAAUUUCAUAACCAACCUACAGAUCAGCAAGCUAGUAGUUUUAGCAUGGCCUUGGAAGAUAUAGUAAAGAGCCUUGCCACCAACACUCAUGCAAAUGUAUCAGCUUGCUAGUUAUAUGAGUCGACUAAGGUCUCAAGGAGAACUACCUAUGCAAACUAAACACAAUCUGAAGCCUAAUGUGAACGCAACUUCCUUGAGAAGUGGGAAGAUUUAUAAAGGCCGAAGCAGAUAUGAACCUGAUAGAGAAGAAGAUGAAAAAGAAUCUUAAGAGGUGGUGACUGAAAAUAUGGAAGAAAAAGCAACCCCUAAGCAUCCCAAGCAUGUUCUAAAGGAAUAUAAGCCCUAACCAGCAUUCCCAUCACAACUAAAGAGUACGGAGCAUGAGCAAGAGGAUGAAGACAUCAUGGUAAUCUUUCAUAAUGUAGAGGUAAAUCUUCCGCAUUCUGAUGCUAUGAAAUACAUCCCUUGUUAUGCCAAUUUUUUAAAGGAAUUAUGUGUUUUAAAUAAAAAAAUUUAAAUGAACAAACAUUAAAAGUCAGUGAAAAGUUUUUAGCUAUUUUGCAAAAGGUUUACCUCCAAAGUGGCAGGAUCUUGGAGUUUUCUCUAUUCCUUGUAAGUUGGGUGAAAUUAAUUUUCCAAAAGUCAUUCUUGACCUAGGAGCUUCAGUCAAUGUCCUUCCCUUUUCUGUUUUCAAAAAAUUAAAAUUGGGAAGUUUGAGGAAGACCGGGACUAUUAUCUAGUUGGCUGAUCACUCGAAAGUAUACCCAAAAGGUGUACUAGAAGAUAUUCUUGUCCAAGUAAUCUUUUCAGCUGAUUUUUAUAUUUUGGACAUGGGUAAUUUGUACAUAUCAGAUAAACUCUAUUACUUUAGGCAUGCCAUUUGCAACAACUACAAAAACAAAAAUAAUUGUAGUUAAUGGCACAUUUUCAAAUGAAUUUGAUGAGAGGUGGUUAAUUUUAAAAUAAUUGAUGAUGAUUUUCUUUCUGAUAAUUUUUUUGUUAAUUUUUUGGGUACUAGCAGUCCUUUGUCUAAGGACUGAUGUGAGUUUUCUAAGGUUUCUAUGCAAGAAAAGAUCGACUUGAUGUCGGUUUAUAAAACGGUUUGAAAGUAUUUUUUUUGAUAAAACAGUUUAAGUAUAAAGAAACUUUUGUUUGAAACACAAUUAUAAAAGAGUUUGAAAUGAAACAUACGGUGUAUAAUAAACAGUUUAAUAAAGAGUUUUAAACACAUAAAAACGUUUAAGAUAAACAUUUGAAGAAAUCUGUUUGGUAAAACAGUUAACGUAUAGUAAAUCCAUUUGCAUGUUAGUUAUUAAUCACAUGUGAUUGAUAUAAUAACUAGCAUGAUUCAACUUGUAUCCUCCCAUAAAGCAUUUAAAAACAUUUAGAAACAUUUAAAAGGUUAAUUCAAGGGGUAUGAACUCACCUGCAGUGAGCAGAUCGGAAGGAAGUGUCGGACAAGUGCUUGGUGUCAAGUGAAGACUUAGACACACACAAUGAUCCUAAUUACAUAUGAAGGCAUAUGUAUAUAAACAGUUAGUCAUUUCAACACUAGUUAAACAGGUAUAAACAUCCUAAUGCGAGGAAAACACAUUGGUCAAGUGCUAGGACGCUAUCGGGUUGCAACAAAGGAGUGCAAGGCCUCAUACGGGAGUUGAUGGUCCAAUGACCAUGUUUGCUGGAGUUUACGGCCCAAGGGAGUUUACUCCUGGCCGUAAAGUCUCAAUUGGUCACCAAAAGGGGCUUAAAACUCUAAGGGCUUAAGUGGUUAAGUGCUCCAAAGCUUUAAACAAGUGUUUGGGUGGGUUUAAGGUCCUAAAAUGACCUUGUAUGGUGUUCACGGCCCUAGGACCACUCCCCCAUGAUUUUAAGGCCGUAAACUUAUGGUAAGGAGUACCAUUUCGUGAAAUGAAGUCGUUAGCUCAAUGUUGUAAGGUUCUAUGCUAAUAUCCAAGGCUCACUAAAGUGUUAGGGUGUCAUUUGCACCCUUAAAAGGGGUUUACGGCCCAAGAACAUGCCUUGGCCGUAAACUCCUUGAAUCCUAUGAUUUCUUAAGCUUUCUAAUCUUAAUGAUGAUAAACCUAGUGUACAAUGAGUUGGAUCAAUAGUACUUACGAUCUAGGAACUUGAAUGGUCGGUUUUGGCCAAGAACACGAGUGUGUGUUCUUGGUGGAACUCGAAGAUCUACAAAAUGGAAUGAUUUCACGGAGGAAAUCAUGUAAGAUUACUAGUUUAUGCAAGAUAACAACUAGUUAAGACAAUAAGCUUACGAGUUUUAAAGAUCGGGGACGAAGAUCGGGAUGAUACUUGAGAGCAUUUGGGCCAAGAGGAGGAAAGGAAUGAACAAAGUGUCUAGAACUUGACCUUAUAGGAGGAGUUUACAGCUCACAUGGAGUUUAUGGCCGUAAAAUCCUAUGUGGUGGCCGUAAACUCUUGGUCAAGGUCUUCCAGACUUGAUCUUUGAGCUAUCGAUUUAGCAAAUAAACCCCGACGCUUAUUCCUUAAGUGUACAAGGCUCAGUGCGCGCAAAUAAACCCAUAAUUGUGCUAAAAGACAAUACCGCUGAUUUUGACUUAUAUUGAAGUGUUUGACUGCACUGGAUGGAAAAUUUUGGGUUGUCACAUCAUCCCCCUGUUAGAUGGAAUUUCGUCCCGAAAUUAGAAUUUAGGUAAGUAAGUAGGUAUGAAUGAUCGAGUCGAGAGGUGGGGAUACUUCCUUAUCGAUUGGUUCUCGCGCUCAUAAGUGAAUUUGGGUCCUCGGUUAGUAUCCCAAUGAGCCUUCACUAAUGGGAGGUGGCGUUGCAUCGUCUGCUUGAUCUCUUGGUCGAUGGUCACUAUGGUUCUUCCACAAAUGUGAGGCUCUCGUUGAUCUCGAUCUCUUCGAGUAAAAUUACGAGAGUCUUGACAGAAAGCUACAUUUUCAAGUUUGAGAUGUGAAGGGAGAAAUAUAUGUUACUAAGUUCGCGGGGUAGGUUAAGUUGUUGAUGUUUCCUUUCCCUUUCUUACUACGAGAGUAUGUAAAUAAGUCAUUUACUAGGACAAUGACGAACUGAUCCUAGCAAGAAUGGUGUAAUCUAUUCAUUACGUUUAUGAAUACCAUGGGCGUAUUUGUUGUAUCCGAGGGGUAUCACUACGGACUCGCAGUUUCCGCAUCGAGUUUGGAAAAUUGUCCUCGGGACACCCUUCACUAACACUCGUAAUUGGUGAUAUUCGGAUCUUAGGUUCACUUCUGAAAGGUACAUCGUUCCUUGCGGUUGGUCAAUUGAUUUAUCUAUGCGAGGCAGAGAGUGAUGAUUUUUAAUGGAAGUCAUGUUAAAGUCUGCACCACGAGGACUUCCCAAAUGUUACCCAUACUGUUGGAAUAGUGUCUAAGGCUGAAACUAUAUUAGGAAAGUAAUUGACUCGAUUGAGCAUGGUCCUUUUGGGUUGCCUUCACCAUAGCAACUUGACAGGAUGAUUUAUAAUGAGAGAAGAAAUAUUAUUAAUAUAUUAUGAGAAUAAUAUAAGGAAUAAUAAUAUUAUUAUUUGAUUAAUAUAAGUCAUAAAUUAAUUAGGAAUUAAUUUGGUGACUUAAAGAGAUUAAUUAAAUAAAAGGGCAUAAACUGUCAAUUGAUUGAUAGUUGUAUUUUAGGCUAUAAUCCCUUAAGGAUAAAGGGGGACGGUUUUGAGGGCUUAGGAUAGGCCUUAGAAUUGUCCAAGGCUUAUCAUUAGGGUAUUGGAUUGCUUAGGGCAUAAGUUAUCCAAUUAGGGUUUAAGGGUGAAACCCUAGGAGCCUCACUAGUAUAAAUAGACCCUAUGGGUUAAGGGAAAUCGGCACUCUUGUCUCAAAAGAAACAUUGGCCGAUAUCUAGCUCCUCUCUCCUCUCUCUAUAAUCAUCCUCUUGCUAGUUGGUGUUUGUAAGCCAUUAUAGGAGUGACAAUUGUGACUCUAAAGCUCCAAGGAAAUGAAGAUUCAAGCAAGUGAUUCAAGGUAAUCUUUCAAAUCUGAUUUCUUAUGUUAUUAUACUCUAAUAGUCAUUAAAAGUCUUUGAUUCAAUGCAUGUUCAAUUAGAGAAACCUAGAUCCAAGCAUUAGGGUUUGUAUGUGCAAAUAGGAAUGUUCAUAUGGCCAAAACCCAUCAGUGGUAUCAGAGCCUAGAUUGGUUUCUAUUGAAGUGAUGCAUUGGUUGCUUGUUUAUUGCUUGCAAAAUUCGAUUUUUAUGUUUAUGCCUGGUGGACUUGGCGAGUCCCAUAGUGGACUCGGCAAGUAGGCUCAACUCGGCGAGCCCAUUGAGGUACUCGGCGAGUACGAGCGUCAGAAAGAGCUAAUUUCGGGAUUUCUUGCUGUUUAUCUUGUGGAUACUUACCAUAAUCUUAAUAGGUCAAUAUAAAUCCGAUUUUAUGAUAUAUUUGAGUAUAUUCUUGACCUAAUUGAAGAUAUUUAGCAAUUAAUUAAAUAUUAAUUUCCUUAUAUGAUAAUUGAUUAAUUAUUUUAAAUUAAUUGGUAAAUUGUUUUGCAAGAAAUAAUUAAAUAAAUCAAAUAUGGAUAAUUAUGUGAUUAAAUGUUAAUUUAGAUUAUUUUUUAUUUGAUCCCCUAUGUUUUGAAAAGUUUAAAACUUUCCCUCAAGUUUUGAAAUUUAUGUUUUGUGAUUAAAAGUUUAAUUUAGACAAUUUAAAUUUCAAACCCUAGAAUUUUACAAGUUUAAAAUUCAACCCUAUACUAAUAUAAUAUUACAAGAUUAAUAUAUAUAUAUAUGUAUAAUUAAAANNNNNNNNNNNNNNNNNNNNNNNNNNNNNNNNNNNNAUAUAUAUAUAUGUAUGUAUAAUUAAAAUGCUAGUCUUACCGUUAGUAGGCCUCAUUCACGAAGCCGGUCUGUAAGGUGGGUAUAAGGUUGCUGCCUAUAAAAUGACGCUUAAUGGGUGUACACUCACACCCACCGCUUGCUUGAUCGGUGGAGGGUCGUUAGCCGAAUGGGUAGGAUAGGGAAACCUCAUCUCCUCAUUAAAAGUAUAACAUGAAAUACAAAGUAACUACAUAUUUUUCAAAAAUUCCCAAUCCUAGUUACUUUAGGAAAAACUGAAUUGAUGCAAUCCCAUGAAAUUACACUUUGCACCCUUGCUAAGAAGUUAGUGGAGCGUGUGUGGUUUACCGGCACACUAAAUGGUUCUAAUCAAAGGUGGCAAAAAGUGAUUCAUUUUUUAUCAUAGUUCGAUGGAGCGUGUGUGGUUUACCAGCACAUCGAAUAGGUGAUUGUUACAAUGAAGGCACCAUGUGAAUUUGCAUGGUAAUUCACACCCACUUUAUGAUCCUCGGUAUCCCAGUCACAAACGAGAGGGGAAUAUCGAGAUUUAAACAUGCCAUUGAAAGGUUUCAAUGAAUCUCAUCAAAAUCUAGGAAUUAUCAAUACAUUUAGAACUUAAAGUUAGGUUUUCAAGGUGGAGAAUUAGUGAAUCGUCAUUCACUUACCUUCAAAUUGUUUGCAUGUUAGAUUACAACAUCCCUUUUCUAAUAUGUAAAUAUUGUUGUUGAAUCCUAAACCUAAUUUUUCUUAUUGGGUGAUAAUUAGGGAUUAAAAUUCUAAUCUAUCUUUGUCCUUUCUAUUUGUAGAUGUCGAACGCGAACAACGCUGCUGCUAGCUCGUUCACAUUGAUGAGCCUUUUCCAAAAGGUGACUUUCGAUGGCACGAACUUUAGUGAAUGGAUAAGAUACACUCGCACGAUUACUCGCUACGAGGACAAGGAGUAUGUCCUCGAUGAGAAGCUCGAGAAGAUCAACCCAGAAAUCGCUACUCCAGCUGAAAUGACUGCUUUUGAGACUCAUGAACAUGAUGUGACAAAGGUUCAUUGCAUCAUGAUAGCCACAAUGAAUGCUGAAUUUCAAAAGUCCUACGAGGACAUGUAUCCGUAUGAAAUGCACCAAGAAUUGUUGGAAAAAUACCACCAAAACAUGAGGCAGGAACGUUACGAGAUCUUCACUAACAUGAUCUCCGCUAAAAUGGGUCAUGGAGAAUUUCUAACCGUGCACCUGCAAAAGAUGCAAAGGUAUGUCGAUCGUCUUCGCAAUUUGAGUAUUGACUUUGGGGAAGACUUGGCAAUCGACAUGGUGCUUCACUCCUUGCCUCCGUGUUACUAUCAAUUUAGGAUGACCUACCACAUUAACAAGAAAGAGGUCACCCUAAAUAAGCUCCAAGGUCUCCUUAGGGUUGCUGAAAGCAACCUCAAGGACAAGUCUGUUGCACCCACUCCCAAUCCACCCGCUGCUCCUGUUUUGGCCAUUGGGCAAGGAAGAGGCAAGAAUAGGAAGGCUCCAUCUAAGAGCCACCGCAAGGAAAAGUCCCGAGAUGGUUCCUUUUCUAGUAGGACCAAAGUUGAUCCCGCUAAGCCUAACCCUAACCCAAAGGAGGCAGAGUGCCACCACUGCCAUAAAAUAGGGCAUUGGAAGAGAAGCUGCCCAGACUACCUGCAAGCCAUCUGGGAAGGAAAGAUGAAGCCGUCUUUCGCAGGUAUAUACACAAUUAAAUCUAAUGAUUCAUCUCAUGCUAUUUCUUGGGUACUAGAUACCGGAUGUGGUUACCACAUUUGUUCUGAAUUGCAGGAACUAAGAAGAAAUAGGGAUGUGGAGCAUGGAAGAAUAAAUCUAAUCAUGGGGAACAGAAUCGUCGCCUGUGACCAAGAUUGGAGUGUAUUCUCUAGUGGUUAGUAAUGGUUUAUGUUUAGAUUUGAACAAUUGUUGCUAUUCGCCAUAAAUGGCAAGAAACAUCAUUUCAUUUCAUGGUUUGUUUAGAUAAGGAUUUAGAUUUUCUUUUAAUAAUGAGAAUGGUUCUAUUUGUGCUUAUCUAAAUGGUGUCUUAUAUUUUGAAGCAAUACCGUGUAAUGGAAUUUAUGAAACUGUUAUGAUUGUAGAUAACUUAGGAAAUGAUGUUUUAUGCAUGGAUUCUUCCAAUGGUAUGGAUAGAGCAUCCUUGUGGCAUUGUCGUCUUGGACAUGUCAACAAGAAGCGCAUAGCCCAACUCCAAAAGGAUGGAGUGUUGGAGUCAUUCGACCUUAGGGAAGAUGACACAUGCGAGUCUUGUUUACUUGGAAAGAUGACCAAGUCACCCUUCACUAGUACGUGUGAAAGGGGUGAGGGUCUAUUGGACCUCAUACAUACCGAUGUAUGUGGACCGUUUAGAUCAACCACAAAGGAUGGGAACCACUUCUAUGUGACUUUUACCGNGGUCUAUUGGACCUAAUACAUACCGAUGUAUGUGGACCGUUUAGAUCAACCACGAAGGAUGGGAACCGUUUCUAUGUGACCUUUACCGAUGACUAUAAUAUAUAUGGGUAUAUCUACUUAAUCAAACAAAAGUCAGAAACGUUUGAAAAGUUCAAAGAGUUCAAGAAUGAAGUGAAGAAUCAAUUGGGCAGGAAAAUCAAGAUGCUUCGAUCCGAUCGAGGAGGAGAGUACCUAAGUCUUGAAUUCCACGACUAUCUCAAGGAGUGUGGAAUAGUUUCGCAAUUGACGCCUCCUAGGACACCGCAGUUGAAUGGUGUGGCAGAAAGGCGUAAUCGAACCUUAUUGGAUAUGGUUCGCUCUAUGAUGAGUCGUGCUUCACUACCUAUCUCUUUUUGGGGGUAUGCCUUAGAGACUGCCGCCCAUAUCCUUAACCGAGUCCCUACUAAGAAGGUUGCCAAAACACCUCACGAGAUGUGGACAGGGAAAGCUCCCUCGUUGGCACAUAUCAAGGUUUGGGGUUGCGAGGCUUUCGUAAGACGAGAUACUCACGACAAGCUUGAACCUCGUAGUGAGCGAUGUAUUUUCAUCGGCUACCCGCAGAAAUCCUUUGGAUAUCUCUUCUAUAGACCGAAGGACAAUGUUGUCUUCGUUGCGAGGAGAGGAGUUUUCCGAGAGCGAGAACUCAUAAGCCAAGGAGACAGUGGGAGGCAAAUCGAGCUUGAAGAGAUUCAAGAGUCGAUAGAUGAAGGAACCUCUACCGCUGGCACUCAACCCGAGGAGGAAACUCCGGUUGAACCGAUUGACGAAUCCUUACCUCUUAGACGUUCCGAUAGAGUUAGAGUUCAACCCCAGUUUUAUGGUUUUCAUAUUACUACCGAAGGGGACACGUAUAUUAGUGAUGGUACACUAAUAAAUCUUGAUGAACCUAAUAGCUAUAAGGAAGCCAUGGCAGGCCCGGAGUCUGCAAAAUGGAAAGAGGCAAUGGAUAGCGAGAUCCAAUCCAUGUAUGAUAACCAAGUUUGGAAUUUGGUUGAUUAUGUGCCCGGACGUAAGACCGUUGGGUGCAAAUGGAUCUUCAAGAAGAAGACCGACGUGGAUGGAAACGUACACACAUAUAAAGCGCGAUUGGUUGCGAAGGGCUUUACUCAAACUCCCGGAGUUGACUAUGAUGAGACCUUCUCACCAGUUGCGAAGAUUAAAUCUAUUAGAGUGAUGCUAGCAAUUGCCGCAUUUCAUGAUGAUGAGAUUUGGCGAAUGGAUGUCAAAACAGCUUUCCUAAUGGAAAGUUCGCUGAGGAUGUUUACGUGGCUCAGCCAGAGGGUUUUGUGGAUCCGAAGCAUCCGAAUAGAGUGUGUAAGAUUGGAAGUCUAUUUAUAGACUUAAGCAAGCAUCUCGCAGAUGGAAUCUUUGCUUCGAUGAGAAAGUCAAAGAGUUUGGAUUUGUACGAAGCGAAGAUGAAUCAUGUGUAUAUGUCAAAUCCAGUGGGAGUAUAGUAAGCUUCCUCGUUCUAUAUGUCGAUGACAUAUUACUCAUAGGAAACGACAUCCCGACUCUGCAGGAGGUUAAGUCCUGGCUCGGGAAGUGCUUCGCUAUGAAGGACCUCGGAGAGGCUUCUUACAUUUUGGGAAUAAGGAUAGUAAGAGAAAGAAGUAAGAGACUAAUUGGACUUAGUCAGAAUACUUACUUAGAGAAGGUACUAAAACGUUUUAGUAUGGAAAACUCAAAGAAGGGAGAA